UUUUUUUUUGUCACAGUGCUAACAUAAACUAGAAAUACACAUAAAGAAGCUUAAAACCUGACUAAACAUGUGAGUACAUUUUCCUAAUCUAAAAUCUAAAAGUAGUAUGACAGCCGAAAAACAUAUACACUGGGAGGAAGCAUUACGAUUGAAGGAGGCUGAUAAGGUUGUCCUCCCCGUACGUGCUCACGGACAGCCGCGUGCUAAUCCCCUGCAGAACCCGCCCGUGUACGUCGAAUUGCUACACAGAUUCGCAGAACACAAUCACGGGCGCUCACAAAACUCAGCCAAAUCACGAAUCGGGAAACUGCAGAAAGGCUCGAAGAUUAGAUGCGAACAAGGGCGGGGCGUACGUAGAACGAGCCGUCCCACUUGCCCAUGUUAAGGUCGAAGAAGCGAUGCAGGUUGUCGAUGCUCAUGGCCUCGUCCUCGUCCACCUCCGGCGGCCCCGCGACUGCCGCGCGGGCGGUGUGCAGCCGGCCGCGCCAGAACGGGGCAAAGCGCGCGGCGGGGAGAAGGCAGGCGCAGCGGUGCCUCUGAGGCUGCGGGAAGGCGGGGGCGGCGAAGCGGAGGCCCACGAGAGCUUCCGCCAUGGCGAGUUGAAUGGGUGAGGGAAUCAGGGAAGCGGGAGAAGUGUUGUCCCUGCCUCCAUGCCGAAGUGGCUAUGAAGAUGAUAUCCUUUUGCUCCCGUACUUCAGUGUUUACGCCAUUUUAUCAGCAAAACGUAUUUUGUAUAUGCAUGCUAUUUCCAGCUUCAACUGCUAUAGUGUAAGCUGACCAGUUGUGACUUGAGGUAAGCCUUCAAAACUCACUCAAACUCACGCCGCUGCUCAUACUAAGACAAGUGCUCGUUUUUACAAGCACUUUUUUCUCCCUUUAGAUCUCCUUGUAUAGAAAACUAAUUUUGAAAUUUUGUUCAUGUGGUUAUGUCGCAGUAUUAUCCUUUUUUUAUAUCUUCGGUAAGAUCUUUGUUGUCGUUGAACGAAAGUUCCCUAAGGAACAGUUUUUUCAAUGUGUAAUCGUUUUUUGUCAUAGAUUUUUCUAUGCUUGUGGUUAGCGUUUGUUGAUUUAUUGUUCUUUCCCAAUUUUAUUUGAUUUUUUUAAAGUGGAGUGGUCUUUUGGUUGUUUUUCUCACUAAGGAUAUUGUCCAUCAAACUACUAAGGAUAUUGUCCAUGACAUUACUAAGGAUAAAGUGGAGUGGGUUUCAAAUUCAACGACAAAUAGUACAUGACAACAAAUAUGGAAGUGCCUGUUCAUGGGAUAUAUGACAUCUUCGUUUUUAUAAUAUAACUAGUAAGGUGCACGGCACACACGUGUUUUAAAAAUCCAGUAAACAAAAUUUAUAUUUAUAAAAAAUAAUAGAUAAUAGUUUUGUAUUUAUAGCAAAGAUGUACACAUUGUAAUUAAGGAAUUUUUUAAAAAUAUAAUCAAUUAACUCAUAUGGAACUAAGCUGCUCUCAAUCAUGGUUCAUAUGGUAACCCCCAAUAGAUUGGCCCAUAAAAAAUAUAGUUGCUGAAUUAUUCAAUUACUAAUUAAAUUGUUUCUUCUUUUUAUUUAUUUCCUAAAUAUAGAGGCAAUCAACUACCAUCUCUUAAAAGACUCUAAAUCAUGAGUUUUUCCCAUGUAUUUUAUUUAAUUCCCAAAACAUAGAGAACCAGCUACAUGCCCGUUUAUAUCUUUUGUUGAUAUCCAAUCUUCUAGACCAGUAUACACAUGUUUUUAACCGAACAAAAUCAAAGAACAUAAUGUUCAUUAAGUAGCAGUUCUUAAACUUGGCAACAGGUGAAUAAUUAUAAUAACCAGCCUGCACAUCUCAAGACUCAAAUGUAGUUGUCAUUCAUUAGGUAAAGAGCACCUGUAUCCUGUAAGCUCCCAGAACUAUUGCAUAAAAAGAAUAGAUUCACUCGAUAUCUAGGGCUAUAACAUGGAUCCAUGGAACGUGUGUGUCCAUAGUCAUAAAUGCACAUGCUUUGUAUUAUAGAGUAACUAAUUGACCAAUGAGUGUGCAAUUAAUUCAACGGUUUAAGUACCAGAAUAAUAUGAAAAGACUACCUCACUUUGUAGCAAACCAAGCAUAGAUUAUACUUGUAUGUAGCUAACCAUAUACAAUUUUAUAUUUAUACUGGAGAUAAAAAGGCACAGCAGCACAAGAUAAACUGUAUGAACUUGAAACAAUCUACAACAUAACCAUGAAGUCAUCUUCCUUAUCCAUUUCCACACCCAAUAUGCUUAUAAUGUUUGGUUACUGGAGCCACAGUGAACAGCUCCUCUUCGUGCUUCUCUUGCUCCUCUCUCGCCCCAAUGUACUUCAAAAACUCCAUAAAAUCCCUGAUUUCAUAGACCAGUGUUUCCUUCCACUGUAAUUUGCAGAAAGAUUAUUUAUCAUGAAAAUAAUGGCACAUAGCUAACUCUGCCUCAAAGACAAUUUGUUAAAGCUCUAGACAGAAGUUAUGCAAACCUCUUCAGGUCUGUUCGCGGCAGCAUCAAUUAUAUCUUUAAUAUAAGGAUUUUCUCUUGCCAUUGAAUCUUGCUUAUCUUCAUCAUCCAUUCUACCAGGCAUAAAUUUCUGAGGCCUGUAAACACCAUCAUUAUCCUGAAAUGCAGCGGUUAUACAUCAUUGAAAAGGUGUAAAACUGAAUAUGCCGUGGGAACAGGGAAACGAACAUCACUUCUCCAGCAAAUAGUGAGUUCAUAAACAGAAUAUUCAAAACUCUAAGAGGAACCAAAAAAAAAAUCAGUGGGGGCAAAUACACAUCUCAAGCACCACACUAAAGUGAAUUCAGUAAUGUAAAUGGCACUGGCUAGUCAUUUCAGAACCUAAACAAACUGAAGGCAGGGAGCGCAUCAUCUUUAUAUAUAUAUCCAAUCCUACUAAUAUGUAACAUUUUCAAGUGAGACUGAAAAGAAACUGAAAACACUAUGAAGUGGCAUCUCCAACUCAAAUUACAGGCAUCACCUAUUAGUGGCAACAAAAAAUACCUUACAUAAGCUGGCAGGCUGCCAAACAUAAUGAAGGGGUCAUACUGGAAUACUGGGAUCCAACGUUUCUCCCGCCAUUAAUUGUAAUUAAAGAGUAAGCAUCUAUAAUCUAAUAUUUUGUCUUGGCAGUAGCUCCAGACUUUGUCCCAGUUCUACACGUUCUUGACCCUCUGGUACUCCCCAAGGAAACACAUAACUGCGUAUAGAAAUAAAAAACCAUAGACUACAGUCCUUGCUUGCUUUAGGAAAGGUAAAUAAUAUAGUUAACUCGGUAUAUUUAAAAUGUCAUAUCCUUUGUAACCUGACAUCCUUUGAGAGUCCCAUGCUGUCCUAAUUCGAGGGAAAUCAAACAGGAAGACAAAUCGGGCAUUCUUUUGCUAGAAAAAAUAUAGAAAUCACACUAUAUCCUGUGCUGUUGCAUUCCAUGAAGGCAUUAAAGCAGGCAAAGUUUUCAUCAAACUAUAUCCUGCAACCCUACAUCACUGGAAAAUGACAAUAUAUAUCAUGUAUGCUUAACAGACAAGUGUAUAAAAAGAAUGCUUCAGCAAUCUUUCAUGUACUGCUUGAGCAAUCUUUUAAUAGCAGUUCACAAAAUUCAUAAUUUAUAAAAAGAAUGCUACUCAAAUCUUAUGGUAACAGAUUAACAAUGGAUUCCUUGAUAAGCAGGAUGAAAACAGAGAAAAAAUAGUGAUGAACUCAGGAAAGCAAGGCCUCUUCAAUUUCCUCCAGAAAAGCCAGUGAAAUGCUUUAGGAACAAUGUGAAGGUUGUAGCUUAUACUUACCGAAUAGCAGCAGCUUUUCAGAAGAGCUGGAGAUUCAGUUGCUCAGAUUUCAGACAUGCUUGUGUUGUCCCGAUUAAAUAUAUCCAUAACAAAAUAUUUUGAAAUUCAGUUUCUGGAGGAAUAAUACCAAAUUGCUGGUUCAGAUUGUACACCCUGAAGGAAACAAGAAAGGAUGUAAGUGAAUCUGAGGGGGAUAUAUUGGUGCAAAAUAUGAUCCAAUACUGUUACUAGAAAGAAAAGAAAUAGCAAGCCCAAAAUAAAUGAUUCGUAAAUUAGGAUGUGAUGAACAGCUCUCAAUAUUACUCGAAAUAUUCUUUAAGAAAAUGAUAAGGCUUCUAUAUGCAAAAAAUUUAGAAACUCACCAAUGCCUGUUAGUAAACAAGACAUCUUCCAUAAAUAUAGAAUGCAAAUAGAUUUGUCUGAUCCUUGUCUAUUGUACAGUUACUUUUUAGCUGAACCUUUCAGCUAGUUCUUUUCAUAAGUAAAGGCUCCUUAGCCAUGCUGUUACUCACCUGAGUCAUUGCUGAUUUUUACUGCCUACCAUAUUACUCCACCCUACAAAAUCUUGGCUGAUGGCGAAAAAUGGAUUUGGGACGCAAUUGUGCAAUAAAACUUUAUUAUGAGCAUGUGAUUGGUGAUGCACGUGAUUGGUCAUUAGAAUUGAAAAAGGGGUAGGUUAGCAAGUCAAUGCUACCUGAGGAAAUACAGAUAUUUGAAAACACCCUUUUGAUCCAGAAAUUUAGUUCAUUUUCAUAACAUUAGUGGGCAACAUUGAAUGCAAUUUGCCAAUUACACCAAAACAUCCUCAGGACUUCUGGCCUAGUGCUACUCUAGUUCAUUAGACAAAUCCAUUCCAAAUUGUUCCACAAUUUCAUCUACAAUUCUUUUCACAAUUUGUGCAUGUAAAUUCAUGAUGUAGGUCCCAACAUCUGGAUAGAGAAAAAAUACGCUCAUCAAUUAUACAGUCCUACCCUGAACCGGAUUACUUUCUCCUGUAGCCUGGCCAUCUUAAACUAUUAUGCAGAAGAAUUUGCAGAUACAAGGUCACUACACUAACCCAACACAUCUAUGCAUCGAUCAGCAAAGUUUUCAACAGGUAUGCAACAGCGCCGGAUCACCUAUAGAAGGAUGAAAGGGAUGAAGGAACGCACCUCCCGUGGUGAAAAAAAAAAUGAAGGAACGCACCUGGGAAGAAGACCAGCAGCGGCGCACUCGACGGAGCUGAAUCAGCGCGGGAUCUCCAUCAUGCAUGCGUGGUGGCCGUCGCUGCGCCAGGCUCCUCCUUCGUUGGGUUAUCUGCGUCCUCCAUCGCCGAGGAGAGCACAGAGAGGUAAACCUCCCUGGUGCGCAAUGUGCGAAGGCAGCGACGCUGAAGCGGAUCAGGAGGCAGGACUGCAGGAGGGGAAGAAGAGACGGGUGGGAAGGGAGGUUGAGCUGUGGGAGAAGACUCCCGGAUGUGGGGGCCGCCGGACCUGACGGGUGCGACGGCAUGGCGGAGGGCCGAGCGGAGGCUCUUAGUGCCAUGGGCCACCGCGGCCGCUGUCGGGACCAUGCAUAUGGAGGGGUAGGAAGGAGCCGAGGUGGGCUGCCGCAGCGACGGCGAGCAGCCCGUGGGGGUUGGGGAAGCCGGUCGCCUCUGGCCGCCUACUCAUGGUCUCGUGGGGCGCCGCCGCCAUGGAAGAUUUGGGGAUCGGUGGGGAUGAGGAAGGUGAGAUACGGGAGGUGGCGUGGGCCGCCAUGAAAGGGAGGGAGGGGGGAGCCGCCUCGCUGGGCUAGGCAGGGAGCGGCGGUGCAGAUGGAUGGGGAGGGAAAGGGUGGUCGGCAGAAGAGAAGACGGGAUUGAGUUACCGAGGAACCGUGAUUUUUGCAUUUGAGAAAAAUGAACGUGGGUAAGCGCGGGCGGGUAAGCCAUCGUCCACGGUGAAAUAAAAUUUAGUUUUUGGCGGAAUUAUUUUCGAACGAGCGAUUUUUAUGUCCAAUUAUUUUCGAACGAUCGAUUUUUAUGUCCACCAGGCCGAUCCCGAAGCUGUCAGGUGGGUCCAUUCAGAGAGGUAAUCUUAUCUUUAACCGGUAAAACAUGUACUCAAAAGUUUUUGUUCUUUAUGCUUUAUAUUCCGUAUACUACCUCCGUUCUAAAUUACAAUUCAUUUUAACUUUUCUAACUUUUCUCUCUUUACUAUGCAUCUAGAUAUAAUAUAAAAAGUUAAAAUAAAUUGUGAUUUGGGAAAGAGGAAGUAUAAAUUAGUUAAAAUCCAUUAGGCAGAAAUGAAACGAUUGGUCAUCGGCGUCAACGGAAAACAGAGUAAACAUAUCUGUUGUUUAGCCGAGGGGGACGCUGCAGCCCCGAGCACCCGAACUGGGUCGCAACUCACCAGCUGCGAUCACGUACCAAAUGCCGAGGCGCUUCCACAAAUUAACUGGGAAAAUGCCAAUACAACUUCUGAAAGCCCAGUUAUCAUCUGAUGCAAAUGAUUUCGAUUGAGGUGUAGCCAAGCUACUUGGUUCAAAAGAACAUUACAGAUAGCAAAGGUACAUCCAAAUCACUCUGCAUAAACGGCAAGACAAAACGGCAGUCCAGAAGCAUGUUACUCACAACCAAACACGCUUAUAUCAUCAUCACACCACCUUCCAGAUAGACGACCAGAUAAAUAACCAACAGUGGCAAUGCAGCUCUAGUUCUUGCCACCGAUAUCCUUCAGACCACAGAUCUGCUCCUCACCCAUGGCAGACAUCACACUAACAAUCAGGUCCUUCCCGUCAUCGAAUCCAGCUUUAAUCUGUGCUUAGUAAAGAAAAAGGAGUUAGAGAUCUGAAGUGUGGUUUGCCACAAAGCUCAAGCGGACAACAAAAUAUGAUUGAGCUCUCUCUAACCUGGGAAAGCAGAGUUUCAUCAGUAGGGAGCCUCAGAUCAUCCUUGGUGCCUCCAUUUUCAGUCAAAAGGCUGACCUGCAUUAUGUGUGGAAUGCAUACAGAUACUUAAGAAAUCAUUAUGAACAAAUUACAGAGUUUCAGGAAUCUAUACGAGUCAGAAGAAGCAUACAAAUCCAUCUUCAGAUAUGUCAAUCAGCUGGUAGUCAGUACGGUUGACAUGGGGCACCUACAGGGUAUAGAGAAAAGAUGAUCAAACACAUGGCAUAUCAAGAACCAAAGAAACAAGACAGAAGAUGGUUUACACACUCACAUCACAGUUAUGGGAAGAGGGCACAAUAUCCUCAAGCUUCUUUCCGUUGAAAAUGUCAAUGGCCACGAAGUGGCAUUUCGCGUGACCAUGCUUCCCUGUCUUGGAAGUGGAGACCUCAACCACCUGCAAUAAAGAGGGAAAAAACUAUCAUACUAGAUACCACCAUUUGUCCACAACCAUCAAGCCAUCAAGAUGUCACACAGUUUAAAGAAUGCAUUCCAUCCUAAGGAUCAUUCAAGGAAUGCAAAUGGGAUUUCAUGCAACAACUUUGAUUCAUGAUUAAGUGACUUUAAUAAUAAGACCAAUCAAUACCACCCAAUGAUUAAGCGUGAAUAUAGCAAGAAUUACAAUUUCACAAUCGCCUAAAUUAGGACGUGAAUGGCUUCAAUGGAACACAUAAAGCAUGGUACAAACAGAUACAAACUAUGGUGCAAGAAACAAUGUGAGUAAAAUGGCAAUUAUACAUUUUGCAACAAUAGCAGCUGGGAUCUCAUAAUAUGGAUCAUUUACAUAAGAGUAAUCACAGUGCAGAGUAAACAAGGGUCAGGAAACAAUUUAUGAACCGCCACAGUUUGGUAGUUGAAAUCAACUGACCUGCUAUGGCCACAAUUAAAAAGCAUGAGCACUCACAAUCGCUACCAUCAACCAGAUAUCCACCACAAGAGCACAUCCCAGAGACUAACCAGCCCAAAAAAAAAAGUAAAACAGCAACUUUUCGCGUUACGGCCUAGCAAGGCUAGCCAACGCAGCACACCGCUUGUAUGGGCCAUCGCCAAAACCCACUGAAUCUAACGAAAUAGACUGAGGCGAGAAGCAGGGAUCUGUACCUUGCACGGGCGGCCCUUGAUGACGAGGUAGCCGUUCUUGCGGAUGGUGCCGGCCUGCUGCGGGUAAGUCUUGGACGCUCCGGCGUCGGCCUUCGACUCGAAAUGGUGCUCCUCGGAGUCCGACAUCUCCCAAGCUGGACCGAAGAACCUGCCGCCAAAAGCAGACUCCCACAGAUCAGAAUUCCCUGGUUCCCAGCUGGCCGGAGCAGAUCGGAGGGGUUUGAGAGCGAGGGAAAGAGGGGGCGGCCGCUCACCGAGGAAGGCGCCGCGCGAGGGUGGGAGGCCGAGGAGGAGGCGGAGCGACGCAGCGAUCCGGCUGACUAGGGUUCCGCACGGGCGCAGCACGCGACUCCUUUAUGCGGCGCCGCCCGCUGGCUGGUGUCCGGGGGGAUCGCGUGUGCUGUGUGGCUGCGCGGGCGGGCCGUGGGCUUCCCGCCGCGGCCCAGUGCGGCCCGUCCAGACCUCUCUUUCGUCGCGACGUGAGCGGUGUGCAGUGGCCGUGCAUCGCCGUCGGAUCUACCGGCCGGUGGCAUCUGGCGGCACGUUUCUUGACUUGGACGCUUCUGGGAGUUCGGCGCGACGGCUUUUCGCGGCACGGAGAAGCCGCACGAAAUCUUCAGAGAGAUUGCGUGCCCAGACCCACAACAUCUUCAGUGAGUAGGAGACAAGAGGAAGCGUUCGAAUUAUCUGAUGUAGAGCUGACUUGCGAGUCGUGACGGUACCUAUCAGCCACAAAGUAAGCAGCAGCUAAUCACAAAUUUCCACGGCAAAUAUCAUAACUUUGUGGAGCUAUCAGAGGACUCUGCAGAAGAUGGAUAAUAGUAGACGGCUCAGAUCACACGAAAAAACUUGAACACCUACAGCUUCGGCACGACGGAGAGUAGCAGAGCUCAGGCAAUCCUUUCCGUAAAGCGGCAAGGCCUCUCUGCCUGGAAUUCCCAUCCGGUAUGCGACAAAGACUCCAGACGACGGCAGCGCCAAGCCACAGACUCUUCAGUUUGUUCCACAUGAAAAAAGCAAUAUUCCAUUCACGACAUCAUGGUCCUGCUCCCGAUCAUAUUUAGACUUCAGCAGAAAAGGAAAAACACAACAUUGCUUCGACCGGGUUUUCCAGCGGAACCAUGUUCUCUAGCAUCAGUCUAUAACAAGUUUCUCUAGUGUACACAGCUGGGGCAGGCAAAUGGGAGCAGUGCAUAUCUACACAAAUAAUGCUUAGCCGUACAACAAAUUACAACAUGCUGGUGAGCUUGGACAUGUGACAGUACAAUCAUAAUGGGGGCACUUUAGCUUGAUUAGUUGUACAACAAUAGGAUUGGCUGUUCUAGGUUUGGUUAGAAGGGUCUUUCACAAAAUGGGGCUUGCGUUUGAAGUCGUCCAAGGCUUCAAUGAAUAUCUGGUGCUCCUCCACCCUGGCAAAUAAAAAUGUGCAAGCAGAAUGAUUAUCAGACACGUUCAGAGUUUUCUUUGUGAUAUAGAGAUGUGAAGCUAAAGGUACGAUGUGAAAAUUGCCGCAGAAGCAAGAGAAACACCUCACCCUCCAGUUACUACCAUCUAACCCAAUGGAGAUAACCAGAUACUUAUAGAUUAGGGAGAGAGAAAGCAGCACCUAAUGUAUCCCACAUGGCCAGAAAACAAGGUUUUCAAGUGAUAAGAACCUUUUUAUAUUUUCAUGCAAUUAGUUGCAUAGGUGAUGGAGAUGCCUACAGUAUAAGUGUGACCUGGGCAAAACUAAAUGAUCUGCUUCCAUAGUAUUUCUGUCUGUUUCAGUAGUAACAAAUACAUUUUGCUUUGCAGAAAUUCAACACAAGCAAUUAUAGAGUUGUACUGCUAAUUCUUUUUGUAUGUUACAACAUUCAAGAUGUGUUCGAAAAAAACAACAUUCAAGAUGAAUUUCAAAUUACUAAUGACGAAUUCAGUAGGAGCUUGUAGUUUAGAAGCCACUGACAUUGUAUCCGCUUCAUGAUGAUAGUUUGGAGCAACUGCCAAAAGUUGGCCACUAUGGUUGCACGCCACUGAUGCCACACUGCCCGAAAAGCUAGGAAGCUGCAAUAGUAAAAUACUGUUGCUUUUAUGGAACUGAACCAGAACAAAGAAAUCCAGUCACUCAUAAUUAGAGAUUAAAGUGGAAGAACUGCCAUAGGCAGAAGGAGCAAAAAGGUAGGCAGGAGGACAAAAUGAUGUAUGCUUUGUGAUUUAAGGCAGAAUCAAUCAUGUUAUACAGUGAAGUCCAAGGGGUUAGCAGGGGUUAAACUAUUUAGGAAUCUUUCAAGAAGUAAUGAACGGACUCUGCCACCUGGAAAUUUGCACAAAAUAUGCAACAAACCAAGUACCUUUUUAAAUCGAUAUAGCACUGCAUUCAUCUCUUACUAACAAAUAACUUUUGUUAUUCGCUAACUGAAUCUGCAGACCAAAUGAUAAUAGUAUUUGGAGAAGGCAUAAAUUAAUCAGUAUGGGAAAGGGGAGGCUAACAUGAGAUGUAGCAGGAGCAAAUAUGGGAAGAAAUCUCACUCUAAGUAGUCUUAUAACAAACAAACUUUCUUUGAGACUAAGUAAUUAAAUAUCACUGUAACCUUUUUUUGGGAAAAGCUUGAUAUUACCUCAAGCAGCUUCUUUUUUGAUUGACCAUCCCAGGCGAUAGCAUAUCCUCCAUCAUCUCCAGUGACAAAAAUUUUCUUGCUGCGGAUCAUAAACAUAGGCAUUUAGCUCCAUCUUGAGAAAAUUAUAGACCUUCGAUACGCAAAACAUACCAGGGAUGAAUUGCGAUGCAAUUUAUUGCCACCAGGUUGGAUCUUCCAUUUCUGGAAUUUGGAUGACAUCGGAAAGCAUAUCUGCAAAAACAUAAGGAGAGUGACAGUGGAUAAUUCGUAUUUCUCCAAUGGCUUAUUUUGGUCCCGUUACGUCAAAAGUGUCCUAUUUUAGUUCUGAUUGGCCCUUUUGUAAGAAAUAUUAGAACUAGGUAGGGAUCUGAUUCGAGAUUUAGAUUAAUGUAAAAAGGGAAAUUCCACGAGUUAAUAAGAGAUGAUAGGAUAUUAUGAGAACUUAUUCUUAAAAUGUUGAUUGCAAAUUUGCCAUAUAUACAUCGUUUCCAUUUAGAUGAGAAAUUACCAAGCCUUAGAAGCCUUAUUUUAAAUAGUGAGGGAAAUAAACAGCAAACUGAAACGUAAAGUGCACAAAGAAAGUACCGAUACUAACCCCAAAUUCCCGUCUGUUACAUCAUCAAGAUAGUUCAAUGCAACAACACCAUCGACAGAGCCAGCAACAUAACCUAAGCAAAAAGAACCAUCAUAAAGGCUGAAUGUAUAAGUGAGAAAACAAUGUCAUAUCUGAUCCAAAAUCUAUGGCUGAAUGAAAAACAAAAGCAUAUUUCAGAGCAGUCGAAUGGACAUCAUUUGAUCAUAAAUCAAAGAAAUUAAUUUCAAUGUUUUAUUUUUACAAGGUCCAAUCUUACAAUGAACUUUCAUUUCUUUUAUGGAAAUAAUAACUGUAGACAAGGUUUUGCUAAGCAAUACUAAAGGUUUCCUUCAUGUUGAUAAACAUAUAUUCACAGUUAUGAAAACUAUCAUUACGAUAAACUUAAAGUCCUACUAACAAUAAUCAGAAGUAUGGAAAUUCAUAAUAAAUUUUAAAAAAAAAGGCGUACCAUUCCACUCCGAAGAAGAUUGAAGGCAUCGAAUAUGAUAUUCUAGAGGAGAAAAUUUAGCUUUAACUGGCCCAGUUAGAUUCCUCAUGUCAUAAAAAUAAACAUUUCUCGCAACUGCAACUGAUAUAUACAUGCCACAUACUGAAAGUGAUGACACAUCUGAAUCAAAGUUUAUCAUGCUGGUAGGGGUUACAUUUCUUAUUUUUGUAUCCCACAACUGAAGUUUUUUGUCAAGGCUCCCGGUCACAAUCUGAGCUGAAAAUAACUCUAGAGAUUAGAGAGAGAGAAAACAUCUAUUGAACCAACCAUAAAAUUACCAAGCUAUAGACUAUUUAAUGUCUUCCUUACCAGUGGUCUGACUAUAUUCGACGCAAGAAACCGCAUCGUCAUGGAGCCCCACUGUAUCCUGAGAAACUGAGCGGAAGUCAUACCUAAGAAUAAUGCCCAUAACGUGAAUGCAAUGGUACAAACUUUUCAAAAUUAAACUAAUUAACAUGAAGAAAGUGACUUCUUUGAUGGUGUAAAUCAACAGCAGCAGUGAACAAUCUUCUCUACCCAAUAUAGUUGCAAUUGUUGUCAUGUAAGCCUGGUCUGCUCUACUCAAUGCAAUCACCACGUGGAUUGAACACGGUGAACGCAACUGGAAUUUGGCACGAUAAAGAUGCAGCUUUUCUAGGUUUAAGUUGCUUUUACCUAUAAUCAAAGUACAUGACUAAGAUGGCCUCAAUGGUGUCUGAAAACUAGUCCAUGAUGGGCAACUGACUCCAGUUUCUAACUUCUAGGACAUGGCUUGACUGAAAGCAAAGGACUCGGUGACACCAACUAACAACCUCUAACAGACUCCACUGACUCAACUAACACAGCUAACACGACUAGUAUUAUAGCCAUCAGUUGCACAUCUAAUGCUAAUGAAGUAAGGACUAAUAUGGUUUGUCCUAUAGAUGGCGCACAUAAAGAAUGCAAGAUGCAAACAAACAGCGCUAAAUGGAAUCAUAAUGCCUUAUUUGUUCUGUCAUGCAUUAGCAGCAAAUGUAAAAAAUUAUUGCAAUGGUCUAAUCGAAGGUCUAAUUUGCACAUGGAAUUUGCACACAAGUGCCAAGUUCAUUGGUAAACUUUUGUUUAAUUCUUACUACUUCAAAAUCUUACUAUUACUAAUUGGAGGCUCCUUUUGAAGCCCCCACGUGAAACCACCUAGGAUCCUAGGUGGACACUCAAAAAGAUAGAGAAAUCCUAGAAAUUCUCACAAAAAUCAGAAACAUCCGGCCAUCAAUUCGACAACUUUAAUCAUAAUAGUCAUUGUAUCUGUUAUCUUUCCUAAUAAAUUACCCACCUCUGCCAUUAUAAAAAUAGACUAAAGUAACCCCCUAAACAUGUAUCUAAAAUUACUCACCUCUGCCAUUAUAAAAAAAAUCUAAAGUAACCCCCUAAUCUUCAUGUAAAUUAUUCACCUAUGUCAUUAUAAAAAUAAUGCAAAUAACCCCUAAAUUUGCAUAUAAAUUAUCCAAUUAUAUCAUUAUAAAAAGUUAAAGUAACCCCUAAAUCUGAAUCUAAAUUAUGUAAUAUAACAAAAUAUUAAAGUGCACUAACAUAAAAUUCUAAAUUACUAUUUCUAUCAUUAUUAACAUAUUAUUUAUAUUAUUGUGUAUAUAAAAAUAUUACCCACGAUAUGUGUCACCAUGUAUUCAUGUAUGAUGGAAGAGAUAAGAACACAAAUUCACAAACAAAUGGUUCAAUUAAAUAUAUAUCAAACACACAUGGAGGUGUGAUGCAAAAUGAAAUCUAUUGCAACCAGAUAAUGAUAAAUAUGUAUUUUAAGUAUGUGUUAGAAUAUUUAAUAGAUCAAAGAGGGUGUGAGAUAGAUAAUUAUAAUUAUUAGCUAUAAAUUUUAUCUCUGUAUUAAUUCUAAUUAGCCCGCGUGGGAGCACGGGUUGAUAGACUAGUGCAUAAAGAACUUACAUUGAGAACUGUGAAGAGAAUUAAGGUGUGUAACUUGGAUAUCAGUAGGAAGCACAAUGAUGAUUCAUGCUAUCAUGCAUUCAGCAAAUAAUACAAAUGCGACAUGAUACACCAGCACAAGACACUCAUUGAAUACAGAAAUGGAUUGCAUCCAUUUUAACUUUACCUUCUCACAGAUCCAUCAGAGCAGCAAGCGAACGCUGCCGACUCAUCUUCGAAGCAACAGUCGAGAAGCGCCGGCUCCGACUCCGCCUUGAACCGCAGCGUGUUCGUGUCGGCGUCGUACAGCCGCAGCCCCUGCGGAACAAAUCCGGCGCAAAACCCGAUCAGACACUGCUCCCAACCUCCACGGAAACGAUCUCCCCCAAAUUUCAAAUCGACUUGAGAGCGCCCAAAUUCGACUCCGAUAUGAGCUGGAUUGCUGAAAACCCCAAAAUACCACCAUAAUCCCCAAAAAAAACACAAUUGUUCGCAUCUCCAUCGAACUCAGCGGAACCAGGAGUGAGAAGGGAAGGCCCAUGACGCACCGAACCGCGAGUCGGGGGAGAGAGAGCUCUCACCGAAUCCCACGAGGAGACGAGCAGGUUGUUGGAGGUGGGUGCGAACCGAACCCGGGAUGCGGCGCCCGCGGUGGCGCCGCCAGCCAAGGUCCGCCUCGCCAUCGACGGGUCUCAGGCGCGGCGCGGCCCUCGCUAGUGGAGUGUGAACUGGGGAGCGGAGGCUCCGAAAUUCGAAUGGAAAACUGAGCUCGUGCUGGCUGCUGUGUCGUGGGCCGACGUGUCAUGGCAGAUUUAAGCAAGACUCCAUUGUAUUGGGCUCUAGGCUCCGGUCCUGAAUUCUAUGCUUGUGUGGGCCGGAGGUGUCAAAGCAGAUUAAAGUGCACCAUUUUUCGGAGUCAACGAAUUGCUGAAACAAAUUCACGUUUGAUUGCUGCAGAAUACAGUAGAAUAUACUAGGUCAACGUGAUCAAAUCUAAAAAAAAUCAGCAAGUCCACUAGAAGCAUCACAACAGCUGGGUCCCACACCUUGAAAAGUGCGACAUGAAUUUGAUUGAUAAUCUCAAGUGGAUUCGGCAAAAGUUUGUGGCAAACAUUGGCAACGUUGAUACGUUUCCUUAAAUGAGAGCAGAAACAUUGCGACGCAACAUUGCCAUAAUCCAAUAUCCAGCUGAUUGAACCAAAUUCACAUAGCAAGUCGGAUGCUGAUGAAUGCUGACCGAUUAAGCAGAGCAUAAGCUACAAAAAGAAUACAGACUCUGACCCUCAUCCAUACCCUUCGUUGCACAUGCGAUGAGCUAUUCUUCAGAGAUCAAGGUGGUUUACAGGCAUUGCAGUUUUCUCACAAUGAAUUAUACCGGACCUCAUAACCUGGAACAGCUUAAUACAAUGCUGUCCCAGAAAUGUCUUAUCAACUAAUUUACGGGAUUUAUUAUAAGAACGUACACCAUGUUUCGACCCAAAAGCAUGAAAGUUGGGGGUGAGGCCAAUAGGCCGGCAAAGUAUGUACACUCAUGACUGUGAUCACCUUAUACCAGUCCAUCAUCCAUCAGAGUCUCUAUAACAAACGGGUGCCGCCCAAUACCUGAGAAUGGUGUCCAAUGUUUGCUGGCAAGACCUCUCUCAAGACGCAGCAGUGAUGUUGCUGCCUGAUGGGCAUCUGGUUCUGCGACACCGCCUUGUUGUUCUUCCCCAUCCGAUCAUACCCCUCUCAUCGGCUUCUAAGUCUCCAGUACCAGCAGGUUUAGGCGGUGGUGGGCUGACCUCAACCUCCUCUUCUUCUACAGUUAUAGUUACUACAGUUUUCCGAGGUUUCCUACCUCUUGUCCGCCCGCCAUAACGUCCUCGUCUAGUUAAACUCGACUCCCAGGACCCACCAGAAGCCUGGACUAACCCCUCAAGCAACUGAACAUCCUCUAUGAUUUCAGGCCGAGAAAGUGACGAAAGGGCAGGCAAGAUAUCUUUUUGAAAGUCCCGCUUUUGCCGUCGCCUCCUCUGCUGGCCCCUUCUAGGCUUGGUGAGGAGGUGCGCAGUUGAAACUGCUUGUUCAUCGGUUGUGAUUGCAGGUUCCAGUGGCCUGCUCCAGCGCUCAUCAAUCUUUGUCUCUUCCAGCUUCAGUGUCAAGGACUCGAACGAAUCCAACUCAUCAUCACUGGAAUCAUUGGUGCAAGCUUGGAGCUCCACUUGUUCGGCAAGGUCAUUGAUGUUGGAUACAGCGAGAUCUGCAAACCACUGCAACAUAUCAUCACAUGCCUCGACAGCUGUUGGUAUAUUCAUUGACAACGCAACAAUGUUCUCAGCUGCCGCCAUAUCGGCUGUAACAGAUGUGUUGUCAAUUUCCUGGUAUGCAUCAAGUUUACCAGGAUGUGUGCAUUCUUGAUCAAAAUUCCAUGCAGCACCAUCUUCACAAGCUGGCACCUCUAAGUCAAUCACAAAUGCACGUUUAGGCUGGUUGUUCCGCAAAGGGGCCGCCUGACAUUCAUGUGACACAACAGAUUCCUCAGAAUUGUCUUCGUUUGGUACAUCAUCAUUCAGAUCAAUGAAAUUCCUGACGGGGGCACCACUUUUCUUUAUGACUCCUUCAGCAGCCUGUCCAUCUUUAGACACAUGUUUCUGGCAUGAAAGAGGUAAACGUGCAGCACUCUCUUCGGCCUUAUUACAAACAAGCAGAGUUCUAGCGAUAAUGUCUUCGGAAGGCCCAUCCUUCUUAAUUCCACAGCCUAGGGAUGUUGAGGCAGAAUCUGAUAAAUUUCGAAUAGUUUGGGCGGGUUCAUUCUGGUCUUUAGUAUUUUUCAGCUCCAUUGCAGUUCCAAAUGAAUGGCCAAACAACUUCCCUGGCUUCUCCAAAGCUGUCGGAUCAGCACAUACAGCUUUAUUUUUGAGCCAAGAGAUCCCGAAUACUGAUCCUCCAUCUUUACCAUGCUGAAAACUGCCAGGACAUCUCCCAUCUUGUUCUACAAGACCAUCUUCCUGACAAUCUGACAAUGUCUCAUUCAAAUUAAAGUUCUUCAUGCCCUUUCCAUGGGACUGUCGAUCUGAAUGUUCAAACUUCUGGGAGUUCUUUUGCUCCAGGUCACUUGAAAUUGCUACCUGAUGUCGUGAGUGGGACACAGAAAAUGAAUCAAGUGGAAAACCAGGAUAGCGGCCAUCUAACUUAUCCACAUUUUUCAGCUUUGGAGUCGAAGUUCCAAUGCUCUGUGUCACAGCACUAAGACUCGUGUACGAAUUCACAGCUGACGAUCCAUUGAAUCUUGGAACCAAAGCAGGAUUAUUGAUAAUGCUGCUCCUCGGGUCAGCUGUGCAAGAACCCAUUGGGGAAACGAUGGAAGGAUGGUCUAUUUGAGGAACAGAGAUAGGGGCAGUAAAUGUACCCAUACUUGAAUGAUGUGGACGGUCAAGCGUAGCAAAAUUAUUGAUAGCAGAAGGUUCCAGAGGACUUCGUGCAAACCAGCCAACUGAACUAUUUUGACCUUGGUAAACAAAUUGGUUAUAAUUGGCAGGCCUCCCAUCAGCAGCUUUGAAGUAUUUGGGGGGAUCAGCAUCACUAUAUCUGGGUGCUAAAAAAGUUAUACUGCUGACUUGUUUACCUGAAGGUUGAAGCAAGAGACAGAACAAUUAUAAGACAGCACUAAAUUAACUAUAAAUACAGCUAGGUAAAAGAAUGUGCAAGCUAAAAAAAAGCAUCCAAAAGAGCUAUCUAAUUUCUCAGCAUGACAUUACCAAGCAUAAUUGCCAGACGACAAACAAUAUGGCAUGCAGAAAAGAAAGACACUAGCUGUGGUUCAGCAAGAGCAAAUUACCCUAUGCCUUCUUCUUACCCCUCCUUGAGGAGAAAUGCAAGUUAAUGCAUCAGAAAGAAAAUAGGGACCAGAAGUUUCAGUGAACAAAGUACUAAAACACAAAAUACACAGAACUACUCUACAAUAUGAUUUGGGAAACCAGUAAACCAAAGAGCUGAGCAUGUGUUCUAGUAUAGAUUGGAGCCAAAUAAGGACUCGAGAACAGCUUGUGACAUAAUAGACUCUAGAAUAUACAGUACACAUCUCAAAGGCCAACAUUGACACUGAAAAGAUAAGUUAAGACCCAUGAAGGUGUUCAUGCUGCAAUCCAGUAGUUACAAUAAGAAUAAAAAAGGCACCCAGAGCCAAAUACAGAACAGGCAUGGCUAAGACGGUUUGCAUGUUGCGCCAUUUGUUAACCAUAUUACCAGAAACAUGAACUACUUUUCCUCCCAAAACCACAGCAAACAUAUAUGCUUUACCCCAAAUUAACACGUAUCUGACUAAUAUGGUAACUGCAGUACUGAAAAAUAUACUGGACCAACAAAAAAAGUACUCUGUGGCCAGGAAUUAUUUCUAAAAUAAACAAAGGUGUUGUCAUUGAACCUUAUUGUUACCUUUAUUGAUUGAUGGUUUGUCCUCAUGUCUUAUUUUCGCACUUGCAUCAAAGAAGUUUGAGCUUGUUCCCUCGUCAGUGUGCUUGUCUUUGGAGUAUUCUUUAUUGAAACUGAAGUUGGUUGUGUUUGGUCUCAAUAUUGGUUGGUGCCACGAGUUCUCCAGAGUAUUUGAGAGGCCUCUGGAAACUGAUCCAUUUGCUCUACCCAUAUAGAUGCCAGUAUUUGACUCAUUCAGGUCGGUAACAUGCCGGCUUCCAAGAUUAUUUGUAGUCCUCAAACCUGAGGUUGAACUAUUAUCACUGAACCUCCCGAAGCCUUCUGCACUAAUUAGUGUAAGGUCAGCAUCAUUCCGUGGUUUUGUAUCUGACGCCAAACCAAGGAAAUCUAUGGGCUUGUUGUCUGACGUGUUGUCAUCAUCUAUAUAAUGAUCAGCUGGAAGCUGAAGGUCAAAAGUGGCUUGUCUGCUUCUUGGAGCAGCAUCACUUGACAGAAAUCCGUUUGGAGAGGACUGCACGCUGCCUUCUCUAAGGAAUUUCAUGGAGGACUGGUUUGUAUCAUUAUGCUCGCCUACAGGAGCUUUUCUGUAUGUUGUGGACACAGGAGGAACUGGCAUCUGCCACAUCAUCUUUGCACCGUUUGGUGGCACUUGUGAUGCUGAAUUUGUAUGUGAUGCAACCGCCAGCAUUGGGUAUGAAUAUAUUUCUUUGCUUUGAUGCUGUUUCAUCAUAUCUCUCUGUAUUUUGUAAACCCGGUGCAGUUCAUACACCUGGAUAGUGAGUGGGUUGUGAGGCUUGACAGGAAAAAAAACAAUUGAUAAGAAAAAAUAAUUUGAUAUGCUGUGCUGUGUUGCUAAGAAUUUGGUGUAAACUCACCUGUUGUCUAAAUACAGCUUCAUGUUCAAGCAUUUGGUGCUUGAGCAUUUCUUUGUCAAAAUCCGAAUAACCAUUUGUUGGUUUUGUUGUGAAGCCAUUGCAUAACUGACCAUUUGAUGUCCUUUCCUCAUAGUAUGGAGACCACCUACCAUUUGGUUCCAUAUUGAGAUCCCCCGUGGCAUAAUAUCCAGGCAUAUAGCUUUCCCCUUCUACUUUUGCCCCCAUUCUUGUUGCAAUCUGUGCAAGAGACCAGUCAAUCAAACGCUCUGUUGGUAAAAAUUCUACAAUACUUUAACUUCAACAACCAAGCUUAAAAUGUGCCUACAAUAUGGGCCUAAAAUGUGGAAAAAGACAAGCAUGCAUUAUUCAUUGGUUGGCAGAAGAAACAAGCAUAAGAAAUUGGCUACUUACAAGAGAACACUAGCCCUUAUAAAUUUAAGAUGAUUAUCAAGAGUAUAUAUAGGAAAAGACAAAUUUUCAGUGAGCUGGAUGUCACAACUUUAUUGUGGCAGCUUGUACACUUCAGUUACAAGAAUGAUGUCUAACUCUAACUGCAAAACCAAUGCCAAUUGCAAGGGGUGCAAAGCACGAACUCAAGUAAUGAACAAAUACUACUUGUUAAUUGUUAGUUCUACUGGCAUUAGCAAACCAACAAAACAAUGCAGAGAAAUUAUGUAAGCAGUUUUACGAUGCUCAGCCAGACAUUGUCAUUUAAAAGGAUACUGUACUAAGCAAUGAAAUACGGAAUGCUAGCAAGCGAGGGGAGAAACCCAAAACGAGCACAAAUGGGCAACUACAUUAUAUUAAACUGAGACUAACAGUUGCCAAAAGAAGCUAUUAAAGAGCUAGGGGUUCCAUUGACUAAUUACCAAGUUAAGAAGCCUGCAUUUGUCAUGCUCUGAUGCCCAUCACCAUCCCAGAAUGUAGCCAAGUGGAUUCUGUAACAUUCACACUUCACAGCGCAGCACACAAAAAGGAUGUUCCGAGAGCCAACGCAGCACACACGUAUGGGCAAUGCGUCUCUUCACUCUGUCGAGCUAAAUGGAUAGCUCAACCUGCUCAGCUGAAUGAGCAGCUAAAUGCGUUCACGAGAAAAAACCUGCAUCAAACACUGCAGUGAGCAACAUAAAAAAGAUCUACUUAACAAUAUGCUCAAUGUGUUGCAUCGCGCACACAAUGCAAGAUCGAAACUCACUAUCCCUACCAAUAAUCAAGCAAACAUACACAGGAUCAAAAGAAACAUCACCGGAGGCCUAAACAAUGAAAAAGAAUAUGCAUGUACAGCUGUUUGGACGUCAACUCGCGAGACAGGAAGGAACUAAAGGAGAGAAGACAAGUCAACCCCCGACGGUUCAACGCACUUGAUAAAUCCUACGAACCAGUUCCCUCAAGCGACCUAUCAUUACCAAACCUGGAAACCGAAAGGCUGCGACGACUAGAUGCAAUUAUCAGCUUCUUGCCGUCAAUCCAACCGAAAUUUGACACAGGAACUAAUUGCGACAGAAACCCGAUUUCCAGAAGGGAAAAAAUCAGAACCUUGGACGGCUCAAAGAAGAAGAAGAAAAGGCAGAAAAGCUGCAUCUUUUUCACAACAACCGAGCUAGAACGCUAGGCAGAACAAACCAGCGGAGUAAAAUUUCACCUCAACGACUCUUAGCGCUGCGCUGAAGCGGAUUGAGCCUGACGACCCUGAGUAUACGGCGGACGAACAGCCUAGCGGGCGCCACAACGCCCAUGGCCCCGAGACGCCCAGCAGAAGCGCCCCUCACCUUCGCAAGCGCCCCCCUCGAGUCGCCGGCCAAGGCAGUAUUCUAGCGGAAAAAAGGAGCAAAUUCCACGGGCACGGAGCAAUCGAGCUCGAGACGCGAAGGAAUUGCGGCGGAUCCGGGAUGGGGGUCGGGGAAAGAAUUGGAUCUGAUGGGCCAGGGGGCGGACUGGCGGGGGGAGAGAGAGAGAGAGAGAGAGAGAGAGAGAGAGGGGAAGUGCGUACUGGUGGGUUCUUGUUCUUGUUUUGUCUGAACAAACGACUGCGUUGUUUUCUCUCUCCUUUUUUCCUCCUUUUGGGGUUUUUGGAUGGGUGUUGUUUGGUUAUGUGCUCUGCCCUCUCUCUCUCUCUCUCCUUUCUCUCUCCUCUGCGGGGGUGUUGCUCUGCUGCCUCCUCCCCCUUGCUCACUCUCUCUCUCUCCUCUGAGGAAGGGAAUGGAACGACCUUCUUCUAAACUACGAGCAAGGACAGGCAGAUUUGUUGACAUCUGGUCUUUUUAUUCUCUCUCCUCCUGCUGAUCCUUCCUCCUCAGUCCUCACCCACUUUUAUCCCCAUCUCUCCCUUUCUCUCUCUACUCCCUCUCCCUCUCCCAUCAGAAUAACCAGAAUAAAAUAAAUUAAACAUGCACUUGUUUUCCCACCCCACCAGCUGCUGUCUCCAUCAGAAUUUUUCCUCCGGAACUAACUAUAUUAUCAGUCGCGAUAAUCAUCGACCAUCUCCUUAUUGAAACAGGGCAUCAGCUGAUCUCCCUUCCCUGUUACGAUUUGUAUAGCAUUUCCUUGUUCCCUUGGGUGGCUGUAGAAAGAGCUUGGGGGGGGAUUGUGACCCUGGGACUGAGAGAGAGAAUCUGUGCACCCCCUUUGCUUGCUGGUGGGGGAGAGAGAAAGCCACAGCUCGAUAUAAAAAUCCAUGCUACUUCAGAGGACAGCACCAAACUUCCUUUCCAAAUCUUACAAAACCAGCCAUCUUUACUCCUCGUGAUACUUUAUUUUUUCCCCCUCGGCUCACAUGCCAUCCUGCAGCAUCCGUACCCCGUUCUCCCGGCGGCUAGGUUACUGUUGCCGCUGCACCUUUCAGACUACCAGUGUUAGAUUAUCUCUUCAUAUGUUUUAUUGUAAUAAGGGUACAUAAAUUCAGAUGCUUUCUUCGUGUUUGCGAUCUAAUCCCUCCACUAACGACGAUUCGAUGGGAAAUCGACCAAUUCUAGGCGAGUUGGAUCGCGGAAUUCACGAGCGCUCGCUUUCCUGGCAAUCUUGGUAACCACAUGUUUAGUCGGCAUCGUAAUCAAUGGAUACCUAAACACACAACCAACUCCUCCCCAUUGCGAAUCAGGGAGAUCCGGAGCUCCUGUUUUAAGACUCGGAGCAGAAAAUGAUGGGUUGCUGGGGCGGAGGAUGCAAAUCCCGCACCGAACGAAAAGGACGGCGGGCAAAGAGAGCAUCAGGGCCUUGGAUCCGACACUUGCGCAUUGUUGCGGCAAAGAAAAAAAAAGCAAAGGACCUCCACAUUCCAGCCAGCACCCAGCACGUAUGGUCGCUACAAAUUUUAGCACAAGACGACAUCACGGGUUAACUGAGUCGCUGAUGCGAGGUCACCAAGGUCAUCUACGUGUGGUCUCGCAUGUACACCUGGCGGAAAAGAUCUUGUUGGAGGUUGGGUUGAUAAAUGGACAAUGCGCAUCAGCAGUUCAGCACAUUGAAAGAAAGCGAGGAAAGAAGAAGAAGAACAAAACAAGAGAGAGAAGAGAGAGAUUGAGCAUGGCAAAGUGGGGAGGAGAAAACAAUCAAUCAGCUGUACUACUCCCGUUCGCUGUUCCCCCCUCCCUCCUCUUUUUGCUCGAUCCAAUGGCUGCAGCCGCAGAUGCCCCCAAAGGCCUGGGCGCGGGGCCCACCCGGCCCUGAGAGUGAGGCCCGGGGAAAAGUACCGGCCGCUCGAGUGUGUCGACUGUCGAGUUUAUUACUGUAGACACGACGCGCGCGCGGCCACCGUAUCCCGAUACCUACCUGGGCCUGCCAUGCGCGCGCCCCUGCUUCGCCCCCGGGAUCACGAGGCGCGGCUGAUGACAGCGUGUCUUCCGUAAUAUGCUCGCUACACGGGUAGGAGGAGGAGAACUAAUCAACUCACAGAAUCCCGACUCGCACUACUCUAAUCAAGAAAAGAUACUUCCCCGCGUAAUCUGGACCGUCCAUCCGGCGACCGCGCGCGGCGGCGGCGUGCCGGGUUUGGGCGAGGCCGGCCGCGUGGGGGGAGAUUGGGUUUCAUCUCAUCUCAACCUCGGAUUCCGCGAGCAGGCGAGGAAGGGAAUCAAACUCCGCCGCCGCCGCCGCCGCCGCUCCGUCUGCGCGCCACCCUCCUCAUCCCCGUCCCAUCCCCCGCCCCCGGUGGCCUGGCCUCUCCCCGAACGACGCGGCCAUGCGCGCGGCGGCGGUGGUAAUCGUAAUCGUAAUCCUAAUCCGAAGCCCCGUCCCAAUCCCCAAGGGUCGGCUGGCUGGAUUGGAUGGCGUCGCUUGGCUUGGCUGCGUCGCACUAAUGGCGCGAGCGAGCGAGCGAGCGCGCCGGUCCCCGGCGGACAGCGGUACGUAUGCUUCGAGCCCAAGGGACGUCACUCGCAUUCAUAGGCUUCACCAGGAAACCGCGAGGAGAAGUUAAGGCGGGCGGGCGGGCGGGCGGCCACACGUCGCACGUAGUACGUUGUUUUUAGGUCUUAAUUGUAGGGGAUCGUUAGAUUAACCUGGAUGAUCGGAACGUGCGACCAGCAGCCGACCACACGGGAGGGGAGUCUCUCUGUGAGUUCAGCUCCAGGACUUGGGUUUUCCAAGUGUGCAGUCGGCGUGGCAUGGGUUUGAUCUCCAGGCUACCAGACUACACCUCUCAGCUAGUCAGAUCCCUUCCAGUGCCAAACUGUUUUACUAUGUUCAUCGCGAUUCUCAAAAUGGGCCACCGGUCCAACACAUGCGUGUAGAGCAGAGCAAGUUUACAAGCGACGCAUCUGUUGUGGCCGGAGCACCGAGAUAAGCGUGUAUCGUAGCCAGAGGAGAUACGCCUUGAAGUUGGAGAUGCACUGGGACCUGGGUAAACUAAAUGAGCACAACUUGAGAGUAGGUGGAAAGAGAUAGGGAACCAUUAUUGAAUCAGCCAAGCCAAAAGGGAAAAAAAACAAGAAACAAAUCGGUUAUACUAGGAAUUCAUGUGAAAUUUCUGCUAGGCUGGGCAAAAAGGCCCUGACGAAAUUUCCAGUUGCUCUCGACCAGGGAUUACAUUACCGGCGAUACAGCAUUUAUCAGUGAGUCCCGGUAACGAUAAUCAGUUGAAAAUCGGUGGAAAAUCACCAAAACCGAUUGGUAAAGAGACCUAAAUUCAAAAAAAUGAAAUUCAACAAUUUAUCAUCGAUAAUCGAUGCAAACUGAACGAUUUAUCGCUUCGCCUACUGAAAAUAUAUUUUGGCAGUGGAAAAAAAAUAAAGGUUUGAUAGCAUUUAAUUUUUUAGGUUAUGUAUUAUAUUAUAUUAGAUAAAUUACACAUACAUGCACAAUUUUGCAUAUAGAAUUGCCUAAGAAAUAAACAUGUUUACAUAUUUUGCCCAUAAAAUUGCAUAAAGCACAUGAAUUUGCACAUAUAUACAAACCACGAAGUGCAUAGUUCAUAUAAACAAACGAGUGCAUAGUCCAUACAAAUUUCAUAGUUCACAGAAAUAAAAGAGUGCAUAGUUCAUACAAACCUCAUAGUGCAUAGAAACAAGAGUACAUACUCUAUACAAGCCACGUACAAACUUAGCAAGCACAUAGUCCAUACAUGAAGGCAUUCGGCGUAUCAAUUUAAUCAUUCUUCGGUCUCUUCGAUUAUCGACGCCACGAUCAACUCCCUCGCUCCCAGCUGCAGCAUCAUCGAUAAUUGCCGCAUAUAUAUUGAUUAUCGGCCUUAAUCGUACGAAAAUCGGCCUUAAUCGCAUGAGUUAGUGGAUGGUAACGGGUAGUUAGAUAAAAAUAUUUUUUUCCUAAGCAAACAAUUGUUGUUUUCAACAUGUGACAACAUUCUGGAAUCAAGAGAAGGUCUAGUUUUUUAUAAAAAUAAGUUCUCUACUUUUUAUAAAUUUUUUUAAAUUUUUGAAUUUUUCAUUGAAAUCUAGCGAAAUUCCAGUCGGUUUACGUUCUCAGCUAGCAUCGGUAACGAUAAAUUUCACCGAUAAUCGCGAUUAUCGAGCGGUUUUGUAUUCCCUGCUCUCGACCAGGCAACCUUAUUAGAUGGAGACGGCACCCACAAAUUCUGCUGCCCAAAGAAGUUGGUUCGUAGCACACGACAGGCGGUACACGCAUUGAUGUUUGUUGGCAUAAGUAUCUGUAGAUGGUUAGGCUGUCAAAACAUGCAUGGCGUGCUCGGACAGCAGGACCACGCACGACACGACAUCAGUAUCUGCACAAGCUUAUUGCGUAGUUGGGGGGGGAAUUCACUUGGGUUCCUUCUUCUAGUAUAAAUUUUUUCGAAAUAUUUUUUGCUUAUAUAACUCCGCAUUUGAGUAGAACGUCUAGUGCUCGUUUCAUGCGAAAUGCUAAUUUUGUACUGGCGGAAACUCUCGCUCAUACUUCCACAAAUCAUAAGGGCAACGCACCGGAGGCGACAGAUUCCAUCGCGGUUAUAUAAUAUUUUGACUUCACCCAACGGCUUCUUUUAGAAACUUUUUUUUUCAAAACGACCCCGACCCGGUCACUUACUCACAUGGUAUUAUCCUCUAAAAUACGGUUGGAUACGUCCGGGGGUGCUGUGGGGUUGCCUUCCACGCCAUUUAUUUUUCAGUUCAAUAAACAUUGCACCAAGCUGUCGAUCAACCGUGUACGCACAGAGCCCGGCCUACCGGCAGAGAACAUGCACAUGCGCGUAUAAGCAGAGAGCAGCCAGCAGGGACAUUAACAACGGAAAGCGAGGAAACGGCAAAAACCAUCCCCAGAUUUUCACUGCCGCACGGAGGAGUCUCCAGCCAGUGCAGCGUCUCAUUGUGGAAGCGACCACGCGUCCAUGCCUUGCCCUGUAGGCUCCUGCACUGUGCUCGUCUCGUUCUGCUCGUACAAGCACCAACAGGCAACAGCAACCCAGGCCGCCUGGCGCCAAGAGGACGAGGAGCUCACGCACGCAUUGAUGGCACCCAGGAUCCCGCCGCCGCCCCCCCCCCCCCCCCCCCCUCCCCUGACCAGUGCCCAGCAUGGUCGCCACAGGACAGGCCCGGCCCUCGGCUUCGGCUCCUCCAGCCACAUGGUCCGGUGGUCCCUGGGCGCGGGGCCCACGGGCAGCGUCUCGUGCAUCCGUGUAUGCAUCUGCCUGCGCGCGUGUCGCAGGACACGUCCGCAUCUGGCGGCUGGCCGGGCUUGGGGCUGCCUGGCUGGCAGCGGCGCCGCGCGCUUCCUUCCUGCCUGUGCCUGUGCCUGUGAAAGCAACCAACUCGUCUCGAGCCUGAGCUUGGAGCUGGCCCGCCCAGCCCAGAUGCUGCCCACUUGUUCGUGGGGGUGGACAUCAGAUCUGCUGCGCGCGCAUCAUGGGAUGGGCGCCCCAGCUGUUGCGUAGAUCGUGCUCUUGUCCUCAUGCUUCGCCCCGGGUGUGAGGCUGUGAGCUAUAAAGACAAGUACUGCGAGUUCUUGGUGAUACGAAAUCACAAAAAUCUUUUUGUUUUCCUGUUCUACUGCUAGGUUGUGUGAUAACGUUUCUUCUUAUUUUGUCUAUGCACCCAGUAGGCAGGCAUAGGCCUUUCAUAAAAUUGUAGCUUCUUGCCUUUCAUGUUUUAGCGAGCGUCCUGCCAUAAAAUUUCUUUAACAAUAACAUUCUUGUUCUAUCUCUACCCACCACCCUUCCUUUGCCGCCUCGGCCGUUAACUUGCCGAGUGCCACCUCUACUGGGAUAACCUAUCAUUGAUCUCUACCGCAAUAACAUAUCAUUGCUUCAUGAUGGGCCAAUAUUUGCCCUAGCAAGGACAUAUGCCCCCUCUCAAAACCUUUCUUAAGUCUUUAUUCCUGGAUGGAUUUUUAUCCGGCUACCGUGACUCUCUCUCUCAGACUGGAGUAGGUUCAAAGUUUUAUUGGAGCUUGAAUCCCUCAAUCUCAAAAUCUAAUUUCACACACUCUGCAGAGCCGAUACUCUCUAAAGCCAAUGUUGGGGUUGGGACCCAAACAAAAGAGAGAACAAGAGAGCAAAUGAACAAAAAUGGCCAAGAGUUCUUUCCCCCAAACUCUAAGACUCUAUUUACAUAGAGGAGGAACGACCGUUUUUUAUCUAUUCCAUUGAUAGGGUUAAAUAUUACAAAUAGAUUCUUAACUUUACAAAUAGACCCUAGAGGUUUGCAAAUGAGUUGGCAAACCCCCUAAUUUGGCCUCUUUUAUAUACAUGGGAUCAAUAGCCUUUAGCUUCCAAAGACAUAUCCUCCCAAACAGCCAAUAUAAAAGAAGCCAAGCUUUACAUCUUUCAAAUAACACAUCCUUAUAAAUUUUCGUACUUGUUCCCUUUUUUUACUUUUGGAAACUCAUAGCAAUCCAACGAAACUUCCUGCUUGAUGCUGGCAGGCAUCUUCAGAGCCAUCGGAGCUUACUGGUUGGCGUCGUGACCAGUAGGGUAAUAACAAGCCAUUUCAAAAAAAAAAUCAUGUUUUACUCUGGAUUUAUUAUGUUUUGAGAUAAACUUCAUCUGAGCCUAGUGAGUCAAAGCCUAGAUUGAAAUUUAUUCAAAAUAAGCAAAAUUUGAUUUUAUAAAAGAAAAAUAAGUGCAAUGCAACAAUCUUGAAACGCGAUAUUGACAGCUCAACAGGCCCAGUUUUGAAAUUUUUUUCUUCCCAGCCCUGGUCACCACUCACCACUCACCAGCACCCUUGGCUCCUCGGCUCUGAGCCUCUGACCAUGUGACGUGUCAUGUGUGCUUUGCCGACUGCGAGGGGACGCUCAUUGCGUGACAACGCGGAAGAGGUCAUGAAAUUCGUACCGUCUCAAAAAAAAAAGAAAAGGAAAAAAGGGUGUUCGUUUGUACGAGGGCAUUUCGAGCAGAGCACGGCGCGCGCGCAGGACUCGGAUCUGCCUCGGCUCGACGGCUCCUCGCCUACGCGGCGCACAAAGAAACGGCAGCCCUGCCCCCUCCCCGCCGCCGUUCCCCAGGACACCGGUACGCGACGGCGCGCGCGGAAUCUCCUCGUGCGCCAGAGAUCUGGUGGCCGUUGGCGAGGUUUGCCCGGCCGGCCGGCCGGCCGCUUCCCCGCCCUUUCUUCGUCGGACCGGCUACCCGCCGCCGUCUGGCCGGCCGGCUCAGUCAGCGCGUCGACGCGGCUCACGUGACUGUCUCGUCUCUUCUUCCGUUUUUUUAAAUAAUUUGCAGAAGCACGGCUACGUCAUUUAAGAUAGGAGAAGCAGGUUCAAAGUCUUACAGUAGUGAUAUUAUAUGAAAGGAUACAAACUCGAACUCUAGAAGAAAGAACUUAAACAUUAAGCAAUAAAGGAUAACUCAGGGCUGCCACAGGCCGGCCUACUUUCAUUAAUCUCGUUCCUGAUGUGUUGCGUAACCUCCGGUGGCCACCCAGCCUUCUGAUCAAACACCCGUCCUCUUCUUCUGUUUCGGUGCCCGCAACACUGCGAAUCCAGCGGACGUGGAAUCCCGCACCCAAAAGAUAGAAAAAAGAAAAAGAAGAAUCAGUUCGAUCUCGGGAAGAUGUGGCGGCCGUUGGGACGGCGAUACUGUCUCCCGGAUCUUCUGCGGAGCGUCCCCUUCUGGCGCCCCUGGGGACGCGACGUCGCGCCGGCGGUGGCUGCUCUUCCGUUCUCCUCCUCCACCGGGCACGCGACGCGUCCGCGAAGUGGAAUCCAAUGCCAAUCCAAUCCAACAGGCCGCUCCCGAUCUCCGGCUCCGCGACGCGUGACGCUGCGGCCGGCCGUGUCUGUACGUGCGAGCUGGGUCGGUCCCGGCCACAUACGUGCACGUCCCGCGUCGCGCGCCCUGCACCCUGGGUUCCCGUCCUGAUACGCGCCGUCGCCGCCUCGCCGGGUGGCAGCGUCGAUCAGGACGUCAGGUGACAGGGAUGGCAGGCAGCCCGUCGUUUUGACUCGAGCAACACCAAAUCUGUAGCGCACCAGUUCAAAAAAAAAAGAAAAUCUGCAGCGUUCCAGUUCAAUGCACCCGUUAGGUCUGUGGGUCGGUGUUGGAAAGAAAGGUUGACCCUGCGGUAAUCCGAGGUCGCGGCGUGUCCAAGUUUACAAGCUACCUCGUCCAUCCUCCUGUCAAUCUGUCAUUACGAACCGUGCCAUCGAAGUGACCGAACGAAAUAUCACUGGAAAACCCGUGGUCAUCAGAAACCCAUUGCUUUCCUGAAUGCACAAUGUUAAUUCUGAGCUGAAAGUUCCUAAAAAAAGAUCUAAACUGAAAGUAACCGUAUUAGUAUCUAGCGUACUGAUUGUGCUUCUUUUCACUUUCACGAGGGUAACAGCCAAGAUUCGGUGGUGCUGGUGCGCUAACCCCUAUCCCCCUGCGGGGCAUGGAAGUGGAAGCCUAGAAAGCGAGGCGACGACCCAACCAAAAGGCUCGCCAUCGAUCGCGAGGAAAGCGGCGCGAGCAGCCGGGUGAGGUGAGCUCAAUCCCCCACUUUCCCUCGCCGCCCCCGGCUUUACCACCCGGUAACAGUGCGCGGCACCACGGAGGAAGACACGCCCCGGCACCGGAGAUGGUAGCUUUGCCUUUGCAGCCUAGCUUUAUCUUCUCUUUACGAGCUCGUCAUUGCUGCCGGCUGGUUGGCCGGGUUAAAAGGCUCCGGCGGCAGAUCUAGGGUUCGUGUCAUCAUAUGGAUGCUGGCUCCGAUGGAGGGAUAGGACCCUAUAGGAGAGGCAAAGGCGAAGGCCGCUGAUCCUUUGCCCCGGGAAUGAGCAUUUGGUUGAGUACCUCUCUUUCCCUUUCCAGGACGCGUCCGAGCAGCACGUCACCACUCACCAGCACGCACCUCCUGAUUGGGAGAAGGAUUCAUUUCCUCACACUUUGUCACGCUUGAAUCAGCUGUGGUCUGUGGAGCCAUGGGUAGUCCUGAAAAGUGCCUCAUCAGAACUGACCGACCCACCCACUGUAAUAUUUAUCCUUCUCGUUCAGGACAUGGGAGUAUGGGACACAGUUUCAUUUCAUCGCUGAGUUACUUCGUCCUUAGUAAAUUUAACUGUCUAGCACAAGAAAACACUAGUAACAAGCUUCACUUAGAGACCAAUCAACUCGAAACAAACAAUCAAACAAACCUACGAGACCAGAUCACCAGAAUGAUUUGCAUAUAAACUACUACUCGUAGUAUAAAAGUAUAACACAGAUGGGUCACACACACACACUUUACACUUAUCAACUGCAAGUAGGCCACGCCCAGGAUGAAGUGUACCUAUCUAAUCUAAUCUGCUGACGCUAUGGAUCACGAGAUCUGAGAGGGAAAAAAAGUAGGCUUCACGUAGCUCCCCGGGGGCCCACCUGCCUGAUUAUAACUGGCAAAUUUAGGUUACGUAUUAACGCUCCCCCUCUGCUGCUGUCCCCGUCCGGCCGUCCCGGCCGAAGGGCCCCCGAACCUGGCCGGCGGCGAGCCGUCGAGCUCGAGCCAGGCCAGGCCCAGCCGCUCCGGCUCCGCGCUGCUCGGCCGCUCGCUCGGGUCAAAGAACUGAUUGAUUCGGGGGCAGGGCUGAGGCUGACACGGCCUCUCAGUCUCGGACAGUCAAGUCCUGUGCCGUGCGCGGCGCUCUGUGCUGCUGCCGCCUGCCAGCCGCGCGGGCAGACGCAGAGGCGGCCUGGCUAAAGCUGCCGCGCGCCAGCGACCUGCUGAUGAGUCCUGACCGGCCGAUCGCACCAAAUAUUUUUGCAGUUUUGGUCGUACGCAGCUCGAUAUUCCCCACUUCUUUCAUAGCGAAAUAAAACCAGCUGGGGAACAUGAUUGAUGAGAGAGACAUUGAGAGAGGGUUUGAUUGCUCAUACCCACCUCCAUUCAGGCUUCAGAUCAAAAUUCUCAACGAUAGUAGUAAGUUAAACGUUUUUGUGACGGUAAGAAAUGUGAGAUCAAUUCAAUCCAAUGCAGAAACAGGCUUCUCCCAACCGUAGAAUUUUUCAGAGUUCAGCUCAUACCGUGUGCAAUCUCAUGGAACUACUUAGCACUUCGGUCACAGUUCAGAGACAAGCUCGAAUCCACACGUGCUUGGCCCUCGGAUCCGACUAAUGUCCCGCCCCUCUGGCCCCAAGAGGCCGGCGUCCACUCCAGCCAGGACCCAAAAAAAAAAGAGCCCGUCAUCUAAAAAGAGCCAGGAUUUUUAACGUGGUCAAACCGAGCCAAAUCAAACAGAAAAAGUUACAGCGUUGGCAGUUUGGCACCUAUAAAAACUACGGCACCCAUAGAUGAAGUGGCUCAAAUUUUACCGUAGAUAAUCUAAGAACCGGACAAAGAACCGGCUCUAAUUUUAUAUAAUUACGGAUUGAAAAAAAUUAAGUAUCAAGUUGAAUUGUGAAAGAAGCAUUAACGUCAUGAUCCAUUACCACCCCUAAGUAUGACACAUUUUUCUACACUGAACAACGAUAAAGAUGCGGGCUCUAAAUGAUAAAUGUGACAAGCAAAGGAAGGGAGCGCUUUCAUUUGCGCUCACGCAGAAAGAGCUGCCGCGUAACACUGUUCCCCAAAUAGACUGAAUAAUAGAUAUGAUAGAAAUAUAUAUAACAUGAUAAUACCUAUCUAUAUUUUGGCAUAGUAUGAAUAACCAUAUUUAACGAAGUCAACGGAUGGUCAAAAGAGAAAUGAAUUAAGUAUUUUUACCGUUUUAGCAUAAUAUUUAUUCUCUCUAUUCGAAAUUAUAGAUCAUUUUAGCUUCUAAAUACAUAAUUUUUGCUAUGUACACUAUGUCUAAUACCUAGUAAAUCUAUGUAUCUAAAAAGCUAAACGAGCUAUAAUCAAAACGGAGAGAGUAGCUUAUCUAUAGAAAUAAUAAUUUAUAUGUGUAGUAAAUAUAAUAUUUAAAACAAUCGAGCUCGGUCUAAAUUUUUUUAACAGCAGUUCUUAUUGCCCCUUUGGCAAAUGAUAAGAAGUUCUAAUUAAAAAAUCUAAAUAAUUACUGACUAGCUUAAAUAAUCAAUGAUUAAGUAAAUUAGGUUUCAUUUACAUAAAUGGUUAGGGGGUCAUGGCCCCUGCCGGGCCCCCUGGCUCCCCCAGUGCCCGGCAGCAGUUGUUCCAUGCGAGGAAGAAAGCCUCGUGUCUUAGGCUAAUUCGAGUGAAGUGUUUUAUAUUAAUAUAUUGAUAUUUUUAAAGUAGCCAUAUAAGCAAAAAAUAAAAUAAAAUGAUGUUUGAAACUACCUCUACAAGACUACAAUGCAAAAAUUCAUAGUGUGGUUUUAUAGGCUCCAAAUAGCUUUUGAUUUUAUAAUUACAAGAGUUUCUUUAAGUAUACAGUAUGAUUUAGAUACUCACAACACACGCACACUCACCUCUAUGAACACACGUACCCAAAUCUUACUCCUAUGAGUAUCUUCGAAUACUGAGCUGGCAAAUUCUCGACAUUGAUGAAGUUACCGCAGACGCCUUGCUGUCGAUAGAAACAUCGUCUACUACUGAAAGUACAACGCCGUUAAAUUAUAGAAAAUUCGCUUCUACAGUGAGUUGAACCUAUGACCAGUGCACUGUACUGAGGCUCUAGAGGUGUUUUCAUGACUCAACAAGAGUUGAUAACUAUGUACACAUAGUUUCAUUUAGAUGAAACUAGUUUUCUCGAUAUCUUCUUUUCUUAAAUUUGAUGCCAUGUAAUAAAAAAAAAAUCCUAUAUAGCAUGCUAAUUAAUAAAAAUGAAUCCCCAUAAAACAUUCCAUUGGGAUUAGCCUUAAGAUAAGCACCGCUGGGGGCCUUUCCCGGGAUGGACCAGCCGCGUCGUGCCAGAACAAGCGCGGCGAGCAGCGGAUGGGCGAAAGCCUCGGCGCCCCGCCCCCCAUCCUUUUAGCAUAUGCGAGGUGACUCCUCUUUCUUUCUCCCCACAAAGAGGAGAGGAGAUUGAGAGCUCGUGGCCCAGCUGCUUUCGCGGCUGCUAUUUUUUAUCCUCUCAUUUCGCUGCGUGGUAGCGAUCGUACUCUGUGCCUGCAACUGUAACUUUUUUCUCCGGGUCACUGUGGGAGUCAACUGUUUACUGGCUGAGGCAUUCUGACCCGGGAGCUGGUGGUGUCGGUACUUGGUACGGCAUGUAAUCGCAAGGACAGAUCGCGCAGCAUUUAUUUUCUGUCUCGUCGUGGGCUUGGAUCCGCGGAGAGUUCGGCCAGGCUCGCUGAAGGCCCGUUGAUGAUGUGGAAGGGAAGGCCCAUGAUGCAAAAUCUCAAGGCCAGAUAGGAGGAGCGGCUGGCAUGAAUGAGCGAGCUGGGAAAAUGGCCCGCUAGGUCGGGAUGUUUCCUGAUUGCAGCCCAUACCACCAGCACUGGGCCACUGGCCUCGCAAAAAAAAGAAAAUGCAGACUGGAGAAGACAAAAAGGGUAAAAAAGAAAAGGGAUAAAUGCUGCAAAAGGGUGAGGUUGACAGGAGACUGCAUGUGCUCCCGAUGAUCUUUGUGAUCUUUUGACCUCUCACAACUCCCGAUAAUCUUCUCCUUUUCGCUCCCCAUUGACAGAAAAUCUGUGUGUGCCCAGGUCUUCAGCCUAAUCUAGACGGAGACGGAGCUGCUACGAUCUAAUCUUCUUUAGUUUGUGCCUGUGUUUGGGCCAUGUUUUUAUGUAAUCAAAACAUGUAAGAAUCCGCUUGCUUCUUUCUUAAAUUCAAUGCAGUGCUCCUGCUUUAUUUAAAAAAAAGAAAAAGAAAAUAUGUACGUACCCCAAUUUGACCAUAAACCUCGCGAAGCACUUUAUGAUUACUCGAACUCCAAAUAUGUAAUGUAUGAUCACAAGGGCAAUCUUAACCGUUACCAACGAUCUAAUAGGUCAAUAAUAACAGGGCACUUCAGUUCAAAACCAAACGGUGGUGUUAUCGAUAGGGGUGGGCAUUCGGUAAUUUCGGAUUGGUUUUUUCGGGUUUUCAGAAAUUCAGAUUUUAAAAAUUCAAAUCAAAAUUUGCUUCUAAAAAAAUAAUACACGACAAUUCGAGUACCCGACAUUUCAGAUUCGAGUUCGGAUAUUUCCGAAAUACCCGAGAAAACACCGUGGAUCUGCGUCCACCAUGCGCGGAUCGAGUGCUUUAUUGUGGACGGACCAGGCGAUGGCUCUGGCUGCCGCAGAACUUCCUGGAUUCUAGCGCAGCUGCCGGACGUGGAGCACGCACUCGCCGUCGAGGACUCGAGGGAGACCAACAUGCCGUUGUCCGCCCGCUCCUCUCGGUCGGCGACGCCCUUUUCCCUGCUGCGGUUGGGCAAGAUGGGGGCGCAAGCACUCACAGGCGUGGUCUGGAGGCAGCUCGGUGAUGGCCGAGAGAGAUGUGGAGAGAGAGCUGAGAGAGAGGGAGAGAUCGCGAGUCGAGUCAGAGAGAAGCGCAGGCCAGAUAUUUUCGUGCCUUUCCGCGAGAGGUGAACGCAUGAGAUAAGGAUCACAAGUGGGCUGGGCUGUAAUCAUAAGAACUUUGGAACUUAGGCAGGCCUUCUAUAAUUUCGGAUUUUCAGAUAUUUCGGGUACAAACCCGAAUUACCCGUAAUAUUUUCGGAUUUCCAGACUUACUACCCAAAGUAUCUUCAGAUUUUUCGGUUUCGGAUAUUUCAGGUUUAGGCUAAUCACAAUGGGGGUUUCAUGUCCAUAUUUUCAAGAAUGCCACGUCAACUUUGUAGAAGGAUGAAACACCCUCUCUCAAUAGAGAGUUUCAUCUCACUAUUUCAUAUACCAACAUACUACUUAAAUGCUGCAAAUAAAUAACCAAUAGGAUUUACUCAAUUGUGUGAAGAUGAAACAAAACACUCUCAAUGAAGGUUUCACACGGUUUCGAAGUUUUUAGAAAUGGGUUAACAUAGUUUUAUCCUCAUGAAACUCCAUGAAACUCUUACUUCUUAAAUGAUGUGCCAUGUCAUCCAAAUUGCUGAUGUGGCAGGCUAAUUAAUGCCAUAAAAUAUCCCAUAAAACUCUCAUUGUGAAUAGCCUUAGGAUCGGAUUUUUUGGGUUCGGCUUUGCGUUUCGGGUUUUUGCCCACCUCUUAUCGAUACGUGUUCAAACCAACUAAGCAAACCUGCAUUUCAGCCGGCACUCGAUUGAAGGGAACGCUGAAGGAACUGAGCACACAAGUUGGCACAUAAAUGUAACAGCUGGCAUAUUUAUGUGCUGGUAACAUAUAAAAAAACACGAUAACUCCUAUUUGCCCUCGGCAAAUAGUACAAUGGACUAGGGUGAACCUCUUAAAAUUCUAAAACGAAAGAAAAAAAACCCGGAUAACUCCAAGAUAAGUUAAGACAAGUCGUCUGCACAUGUGAUCCAAAGAUCUCCUGGACAGCAACGGCGGAUUGACGCAGCGUGCACUCGAGUUUCGACAUCCCGAUCCAUCAUCCAUUUCGCGAGAACGACGUGGACGGCAGGGCACGCGCCGCGCCACACGCCGAAGCUCCACGACAGAUCCGACGCGGGCGGCGAGCGCAUCCCUGCCAUGUGCCCCGCUCCUUUAAUUGGGCCGCACCCGGCGCCCCACCGGCAGGUCCCAGCUCACUCACUCGCGUCCCAUCCCAUCACGUCGUGUGUUCACUCUCUCCCCGUCGCCCUUCAGCUCAGCUCAGCUCAGCUGAGUUCGAGCUAGAGACAAGAGCCACCCACGCGAACGCCGCCACCUCGCUCGGGUCUCUUCGCCAGCCCGCUGCUCCGGCAAUUGCUCGCUGCUGUUUGAUUCUGCUGAGGGGAGGAGGCGGCGGCGGAGCGGCGGGGAAGGGAUGAUGGGGCGGAUGCGGGUGCCGGCGGCGGCGCUGCUGGUGCUGGCGGCGUGCGCGGCGCUGCCGUCGGGGACGGCGGCGAACAAGAUCAGCAUCAACUGGAAGCCCAACACCAACUACUCCGACUGGGUGACGCAGCACAGCCCCUUCUACAAGGACGACUGGCUCGGUACGCCGCGCAUUGCAUGCUCCUCGAUCUCUUCGUCUGUGUUCCCAGAUCUGAAUCUUCUUCCCUUCUGAAAUCCGAACCCGCUCGGUUCUCGCGUGCGCAGUGUUCUACUACACGGCGGGGCAGGCGGACGUAGUGCAGGUGGACGAGGCCGGGUACAACAAGUGCGACGCCAGCAACGCCAUCUACAACUACAGCAAGGGCCGCAGCUUCGCGUUCCAGCUCAACGAGACCAAGACCUACUACUUCAUCUGCAGCUACGGAUACUGCUUCGGCGGGAUGCGCCUCGCCAUCAAGACCGAGAAGCUGCCGCCGCCGUCCCCGCCGCCGUCCGCCAGCCACAAGUCCGCCGCAGCAGCCUUCGCAAGGUCCCACGCCGCGGGCAUCUACGUCGCCGUCGCCGCGCUCGCCGCGCUCCUCAGGAUGGUCUAGCUAGGCAAAAUCUAGCCAGCCAGCCCUCCGUUCGAGUUCUUUCGUUCAAUUUGGAGCUCUUGUUUUCUUUUUUGUUUCUUCCUUUUUUUUAUAGUGUGCUUGGGCUCUGAAGAGGAGUCGUAGUAGUGGAGUGUGUUGUGUUGGGUUUAUUAGUGGCGUGGAUUUGCGGAAGCGAUUGAUUGAGCUGAGAGAUUGAUUUAUUCCCUGUGUGAAGAACUCUAGCUGAAGUAACCUAGCUUUGCAUCUUGUCACGGAGAUAAAAGAUCUCUUCUACUUUCCCGUCCCUUUUCUGAUCCGUGCAAUCCUGGUCGUGGCCUGAGGGCUCUCCUUUGGAACAAACGGUAUUCGUUCAGCUGCCUGAGUGAAUCUCAUGUGAGCAUCUCAAUGGUUCGGGAACGUUCCGGUGGCAACGGGCGAGCAAAGCCAUGCCUGCCCAUCGGCACAUGUUCUGUCGCCUAGGACCGGGAGCCUCCCGUGUCCAGUCUACCGAGCCGCAUUUUGACCUGAGAUCAGCUCGCGUCGCGGCAUGAUUUUCCGCGCAUUGUUUGCUGCAAAGAUGCGCGUCGACCGUUGCAGCUGUACCCCGCGAGAAGGAUAUGCCAGCGGACAUGUGGUGGUUUAGGCAGGCAAACCACGGCUCCCUGCCCGCUCUCGGCUCGGCUUUGUCCGCAAGAGCAGCCCGGUUUCGCGCAUGGGUUGCCGAUCCAACGCUGGUCUUCGGCGUGCGUGUCUCCGAAGUGCUCCCCGCUCGCUAGGCGCACGCAGAGAAUGCCCGGGGCGAUGCAGCUCCUCCCCAUUGCAGGACUCCGGGAGCGGGAGCUCGUCCGCCGAGAGGUUCGCUACUUCGAUUCGCUACGGCCUACGGAGCAGGUACGGCACGGCUAGAAAACGCUCGCCGGCUCCAGUGCCGCCUCACACACAGGACGUGCGGCGCCACGCCGCGCUAGCAAAGCCACAUCACGUGGCUGGCCUUGAUGGCGCGCGGGUGCGGAACUGCGGAUCUCCAUUUACUACGGGCUUUCCUCAUCUCCGGUGGACGGCGCGUGGGGGAGCGACUGCGACUGCGACGGUCUGUCCUCUGCACCUCAAGAGGAAGGAAGAAGAAAGGGCUAAAACGGCAAGAACGAAACCGCAAGAGGUGCAGAGGCGCUGCGACUGCCACCGUCAGGAACCGCACCUCUCGGGAGGAAUUCAGGACAGAGGAGUAGAUGCUGCCCUGUGAUCAUCAACGCACUAGAGACCGCGCAUCAGAUCUGGUUGGAGACCAUCAUUGUCAACGCAGGUACGCGACAGCGCCAACAAAGUCCUCCUGUUUAAACCCCAACUGCGUACCGACCAAACAUGAACUACGGGUACGACAAAGUGGUGCACAGUGAGCACUAUCCCGGAACAUAAUGUUUGAAAAAACUGUAUGACAAGACAAGCUAUCCAUCAGGUGAUCUGAAGGUCAGCUUCAUGGUAACAGGGUACUAAGUAUUGCAUAGUUCUAGCUAUCCAUAUCCGGGCAAGAAAUACAGCAAGGCAAUUUGUUGCCACUCACGGACUGCACUAUCAUGGCACACACCGCCACACCGGGAAGGGGGGGAAAGGCAUAACGAUAAAAAAUGGGGAGAGGGGAGACAAAAAUUUGUGAUGGUUAAAGCAACAUGUUCACCACAACUUCCAGCAAUGGAAAAUUCACACUCUAAACUUCUGCUUAGUACUGUUUUCCUAUCCCACACAUUUUCUAUUACCUUUGAGCAGCACUGCAUUAACCCUCGAGCAUUGCCUUGGCUGCAUCAAUAAGUGCAGGUCUCAAGCUGUUAGAUGCUCGACCAAGGACAGUGUAGCUUUCCUUGUCCUCAACAUCAACAUCAGCACCAUGUCUAAUUAGCAGAAAAGCAACCUAGGAUAAGAUUGUAACACAAGAAUUAGUAAUGCCCUGUAUUGAUUUAAUAAAAACACACAAGGGCAAUCAAUCACGUCUAUCGUGACUCAAAAUCUGGAGCUUCCUUUGGUAUUUAAAAGGCAGUGAGUCACCAAUGAACUAAUAGGUAAUCCGCACUACUUAGCAGCCUAAAAGUAGUUAAAAAAAGGCUAGGAUCGUGGUCAGAGAUAAUUAAGGGCCUGCUUGGUUGGAUGCCAAAAUAUUGGCAUGCCAAAAUCUGGGCAUGCCAAUUUUUUUACCAAAAUCUUGGCAAGUUUAGAAUAGCACUUAGUUAGGUCUUAGGUGGGCUGAUUUUUUGGCCUUCAACCAAAUAGGUGCCAAAGUUUACAGGUUUACCCACAUUUUGGUAUGCCCACAUUUUGGCAUCCAACCAAGCAGGCCCUAAGUUAAGCCGGCAUUCAAGGUGCAAUUUGCAGUGCAACAGACACCACAGAAGCAGAAGCAUGGAAACCUGAAAAUUACUUGAACGAAUUCAUGCAAUAAAACCAUAAAAAGCUACCUCUUUGCGCUCUCAUAUUAUGGCAUCCACAUCAACCAACUAUGCACACUUACAAGAAAGAAGCCAGAAAAAAUUACCCCUUGGUUCUCGCAUAUAACAGCAUGCAUCAGAGGCGUUUGUCCUGUCCUGUCAACAGCAUCAACCUCGGCACCUUCCUCGAUGAGGAAUUCGCACAGUUCAGCAUUUCCAGUGCUUGCAGCUCUAUGCAAGGGCGUGCAGCCAAACUGACAAGAUAGACAUUGAAGGUUUACAUAUCUAGCAAAAUUUCAGUUCUAGACUUGCAGUGUAUAAAGAAUCAGAGAUGCAUAAGCAUAUGCGGUAACAGUGAUCAACAUAUUUCCAGGAAACAUUCUAAAAGAACUUCAAAUUCUUGGUGAUUAUUUUUUAGUCUGAACUGAUUCUAGGUGACAAAAGAAUUCUACUAAAUUAAAUGCUAAUAAGAAACAAUUGUUGUUGCAAAACACUGUACUUUGUAUCAGGAUCAAUCUUAUGUCCAAACAUCAAAGAAUACCCCAUCAUGGUUUACCCGUUCUGGAUUUGAGUCCUACCACCACAGAAAGCCACAUGGGCACAUAUUUCUCUUAGAUUGUUGAAAAUGCACAUACCUUGUCUUUCUUGUUGACUUUUGCACCAUGUGCUAUUAGUUUUUCAGCUAUGUUAAUCCUCCCUUUGCUUGCAGCAUAAUGAAGAGCAGUUCGACCACCAUCAGUAGUCAGGUCAACAUCAGCACCUGGUAGUAAAAAUUUAUGAUUACAUCUGUUACUAAAAUCUUAAAUGAUAGACUAGUGAAAUUCCAAAAUAAAAUAGCGCAAGGGGAGCACAAACUCGUUUUUAACAGAAGAAAAUGAAAUAUACUGGUUUAAUGCUUCUGAACGAUGCUAGAUAAAUAGGAAAUAUGUCACACUAUGAUACUUUGCAAUUCUAAUGUUCUAGUACACUGAAAUAAACCUUUACUUGGUUUUUGUGAAGAAUAGGAAUAUUUUAAGGAGCUCAUUCAAGGAAAUAAGAACAUUUAGCAUCCUCUAUAGACUAGCUUAGUUCCGAACAUGCAUGUCAGCUCUCAUUUCACUUCUGCAGGAUAUACAAAUUAGUGCAGCAUAUGAUUGGUGAAGUUUUUAACAAGAACCAACAUGAGGACAUUCUGAAAAAUAGCAGUGUAUGCCGAUAUCAGUGAAUACCCGAAAGGAAAAAAAAAGAAAAAAGCACCACAGUUCAGAUCACUGACCAGCAGCAAAGAUCAAUUUGAAUGUUACAGGCCAACACCAACCAUGUCCUAAGUGUUAAGCACCAUGUUGCUAUAGUAAAAAAUAACUAACCACCAAAUUAGCCAUAUCAUUUCAAGAAGAGAAAAAUGUAACACAGCGAGAGAUACCAUGACUUGUUCAAGUCAUGCAUUUCAGCUCUCAUUUUUGUUUUUCCAGGAUACACCGAUACACAAAUGACAAAUUAGCACAAUAUGUGCAGAGGCAUUUAAUAUAUAUAGAAAACGUGACUGAAGCUCUGAAAAAGAACCAGAAAGAGGACAUCGACAAGCAGCAGUGGUACACUUGGAAAAGUUUACCCGAAAUGUGCAUCAGUGACCAAACACAACACUGAUACGAAAUGUUAUUGUCCUAGAGCAACUAUGAGCCUCUUAAGCACAAAGUAACCAUAUGUCUAUAUAAAUACAUCACUGUCCACUAACUAUAUGAAAAUCUGUCAGAGAUGCACACAUUUGCACUAAUUACUGCACCUGGCUGAAAUUGCACGAACAGACAUGGCCAUCAGAAAAUGUCAGAUGGUCAGUUCAUCAUGUCUACCCUAACUAAUCUUAGAAAUUUGUAGCAGAAAUAACAGAACUCGCCCAAACCAUCGGCCUGGUCUCGUACCUCGCUCAAGCAGGAUUUCGACGAUCUGGGCGUUGCCGGUGCUGGCCACGGAGUGGAUCGGCGCCCACCCCUCCUCGUCCUUCGCGUUCAGGACGCUCGCCGCAGCGCCACCACCUGCUUCCAGGAGCGCGAGCACCACCUAAACCCACCAAAACACCGUCAAAACCCUACACCCAGCAUAUCCGAUUCUAGAGAGUGGAAGUCCUCUUUGCGUGCCUGGGGGUGCCCGGCGGCGGCGGCGACGUGGACGAGGGAGCGGCCGUCCUCGUUGCGGAGGGAGAGGUCGGCGGGGGUGAGGGAGGCGAGCGCGGAGGCGUCGCCAGACUCCGCGGCUCUGAAGAGCUCCUUCUCCGAUGGGCGCCCCUCCCCGCCACCGCCGGCGUCGACGUCCAUUGCCGCCAUCAGGGUGUGGGGCGCUGGUCCGGAACUGGGAGGAGGGCAGUAGGGGACAGGGGAGGGGCCGGAGGCAGGCGAAGCAGCGAAGGCAAGACAGAAAGGUCAGAAGGCGCUUCGAGUUGCGUUUCGGGGGCAUGGUGGAGUGCGCUUUCCACACGAGUAAGCGCCCCCUCAUCCAAGAAAGAAGACGAGCUUGGGCUUCUCGGUUUCUUGCAGUCAUGCAUAGCUGGGCCGUCUAUGUGGAGUCUGGAUGGUCGGUUAGAACUGGGCCAUCCCACGGCCCAAGAAAGAAGACGUAUUGUGCCCUGUCUCUGACUACGAAGAGCUCCCUCGCAAGACGGCCUCUGCUCGGUGCUCGCGUCGUCUCGCUCACGCUUUCGUUGGAUUAGGAUUAGGAUUACGAUUGCGUUGCGAUCUUUGGUCUGGAGUCAAGGAGAGGAUGAUGAACAGGCAGUUUUUCUGAAUCUGGUGAUGGAGAGCCUCGCUUGUACUCUGCGCCGCAUCAAUCUUCCCAGCCAUCUCUUCUAGUACCCAUCAACAGCUGCCACUGAGGCUACAAUUGGUCGCUAAUGUUCGGGAUCACACGCGCGGGUGCGAUUGAUUCCGUCGCAGAAGCCCCGUACAUGUUGUUGCAAGUGGACCUAGCACCUGUUCAUCUUCCUCCUCACGACGCCGGCCAGUUUCGGGGAGGGGGUUUGUCGGGGGCUGGGGAUCCAUCACCAUCAAACAUAAAAUAGGAGGAGGGAAAGGCAGGAAAGCCCGACGAUGAUGGCGGGUUAAGGGGGCAGGGUGGCGAGGCGGCGGUUGCCCCCGGCCGCCGACGGUUGGUUAGACAAUCAGUGGACCACGAAUAGAGUGGGGACGUAGGAAGCCAAGUGUGGCAGCGGUGAGUGGCGGGCGGUGGUGGAUCCGGCGGCUCCCGCCCGUCAGAGAAGGAUGAUGGCCGGCGGUAGAGGCGAGCUCGUGAUGGGUCUUACGGACCUUCUGCGAUGACUCGCAUCUGGAACAGCCCCCGCAAUUGGCACGGUCAGAAGCUGCGACCCGGCGAACGCGAAGAGGCAAGCCGGAUACAAACAUGGGCUCCGACACUUGCAGACGAUCGCUACAAGCCUGGAGCCGCUGCCACCUGCGGCGAUCAACUUGAAACCAAGCUGCCCGAAUCGUCCGCACCAAACGCCCUUUCAAUAUCGCUCUUCUGGGCGACGAUGACGGCGCCGCCCGCCGAUGAGCUGCCUGAUUACAUCGACGCUUACACGGUUUGUUGGCGGCUCCACUAUGUAUGUAUAAUCCAUGAUUCUGCACUUUCCACUACGGAUGAUAUUUUUUAAAUAUAUAUUGGAUUGUUGGGUCGAUAAAAAGGAUGAUAUUUUUUAAAUAAUUUAAAAGAAAAAAUUAACUAAAGUAGCAUGCCAUCGUAAUUAAUUAGCUGAUAAAAAAUAUUAUUAAAAAAUAAUAUUAUUAAAUACACACUGCAUUGUUACCUUCGACGCACGCCGGCAAGUGGAGCUUGCCAUUCUCUAGUAAAGCGGAGUGCAUCCCGGAGCAGAGCUCAACCUCUGGUUCGGCCUAGCCGCCCGCCUCCCCCCUUCCACCUCUGCGCUUUCGACCUCUCUGCAGUCGGCACUGGACUUUGAGCGACCAUCUACAGCCGUUCGCACCUGGGUAGAUCUCUUGACAUGCCUAGGAGUUGGUCGCCGUUCCAGCUCGACCUCAUCAACCUGGGCUCUGGCAGGUUUUGUGCCGUCAAGAUCGUCCGUCCUACUCUGCCCCCACCUGAGAUGGGUGGUCACAAAACACCCUGAUAUGAAAUGUUAUUGUCCUACAGCAACUAUGAGCCUGUUAAGCACAAUGCAGCUAUCAGUGGCGGAGCUAGAAAUGAACCGUAGGGGGGGCCAUUUUGCCUAGAAACUGGAGUAGCAAAUAAAGAAUCAGCCUAGUUACCUGCUGUUGCCUUCUUGCCGAAUGCGGAUGAUGCUGAAUUGCUGAGCGCUGGAACCCCUGACUAAGAACUGAGAAGGAAGAAGCCUGCCCUUGGUAGGUGGCGCUAGGGAUUGGACGAACCACGAACUGGUUGGGGAUUGGGGAAUUGGGAUUGGCGGAUUGCGGCAGCCUCCGGCUAUUGAUCUCGCGGCCGGCUGCGGAGGCCGGCGAGCGGCAGACGAUGGAGACCGCCAGACCGGCGGGCGGGGCCGGGGGCGGCGGAGGCGGGGGCCGGGGGCUGACGAGGCGCGAGCGGCGCGCUGCGUGCGGUCUGCAACUUCUGGCGUGGCUGCCAGCCUGGGUGAGUGGGUGUACACGAGAUGGGCCUUUUGCAUAUACCUAUGUGAUUUCAUUUGGGCCAAGAGGGGGCUACGGCCCACGUUUGCCGACAUAUAGCUCCGCCAACGGCAGCUAUACGUCACUAUUCACUAAAGCAUAUAUGCAAAUCUGUCUGAGAUGCACGCAUUUGCACUAAUUACUGCACUUGGCUGAAAUUGCACGAACAGACAUUACCAUCAGGAAACGCCAACUCGCCAUGUACCAAUUUGCCCAAACCAUCGGCCUGGUCUUGUACCUCUCUCAAGCAGCAUGUUGAUGAUCCGGGCGUUGCGCCGUUGCCGGUGCUCGCCAAGGAGCGCGGAGUGCAUCGGCGCCCAGCCCUUCUCGUCCUUAGUGUUCAGAAAGUUCGCCGCAGCGUCACCACUUGCUUCCUCGAGAACGAGCACCACCUAAACCCACCGAAACACCAUCAAAACCCUAAACCCAACCUAUUCGAUUCUAGAGAGUGAAAGUCUCCUUGCAGUGGCCGCCGGGGGCGGCAAUAUGGAGGAAGGAGCGGUCGUCCUUGUUGCAAAGGGAGAGGUCGGUAGGGGUGAGGGAGGCGAACGCAGAGGCAUCGCCGGACUCCGCGGCGUUGAAGAGCUACUUCUCCAACGAACACCUCUCGCCGCGAGGGUGGCAUCGACGUCCAUCGCCGCGGCCAUCAUAGUUAGUGUCACUCUAGUGUGGAAUAAAAGAUAGAGUCAUCGUCAAAUAAGAAAUUACUUUAUUUUUUAGUAUCAUCUAUCAGUUAGCUAAAAGUAGCUCGUGUAAACUUGUACGGAAGGAGUGUUAUUUAGAGCAACUGCAGCAAUAUCUCCUAAAUCAAAAUUUUUAAAUGCUAAAUGAGGGUUGCUUUUUUUGGCAAUAGCCUUCAAUUCUAAGAGGGCUUCCUAGAGACCCUAGGAAUGGAGGGUGGAGAAGAGGAAUUGGAGGGCUCCACAAAAUAGAGGGCCUGGUACAGAGUCUGCUGGAGUGCAUCUUUUCUGUUUAACCCUCUAUCGCUUGAGACGCUUGAGAUAGGAAGUUGUUUAAAGAGUCUGCUGGACUUUCUUACAAAGGUAAAAUAGCCGAUUCCAACUUUUGCCUCGGUCUCAAAUUCAUCUCUCAACUACAAAAUUAACCAAUUUCAUCCUCAAACUUUCUAUUUGAGCUUAAUUUAAUCCUUAAUCCCUAUGUGGCGUACCAUGUUAGCAUGCCUAGUCAACAAUAGGUGAUAUAAAAGUAAGUCAACACAUAUAAAUAGACUCUUGUACCUCUAAUUUUUACUCACAUUCGAUGUCUCAUAAAAAAAUAUGUUUCAAUGAACAAUAAGAAUAUACGGAUAAAUAAAAGCGUAGACCUUUUAUUCAUAGAUAUAAAUCUUUUCUUCAUAGACAUAAGAUCGUCAAUAACUUAUUUUUGCUAUAUUAAUGAAUUAUGGAUUAGUAUACCACUUGAGUUGAUAGCAUUGUUGGACUUUGUAAGGUGUCCAAAAUUUUACAUACACACCGAUCACAUCAUACACACUGGUCACAUCAUACUAGUGAUUAAAUUGAGCCUAAAUGAAAUAUUUUAAGAUUAAAUUAGUCCAUUUGAUAGUUGAAGGAUAAAUUUAAGCCUUGGAAGAAAGUUUGCCAUUUAGAAACGCUAGAUUUUUGCAUGUGCUAAAUAACAAUGCAUGGUUUGAGAAAAAAGAUAGAAAUGGUAAGAGAGAGAAGUUGUCAUACUUCAUGUAAGAUAAAAAUUCUUUAGAAUUAAAUAUUUUGCAUAGGAUAAGGAUAAGGAAAAUUCUAGAGUUUGAUAUUUUAUAAAGAGGAGUAUGUAAGUUGCCACAGCAACACCACAGUACCAAUCAACACCCAUAAAUAGGUCAACCUUCUCUCUUUCAAAACCUCCCCCUUCUUAGAAGACGGUGUCAAAGAAACACCAAUUUCUCAACAAUAUAGUAUGUAUUUAUUUCGUUCGGGGAUCAAUUGUGAUGAGUUAGGCGCAUUAUAAUUUUUUUGUUAAAUUUAACUAUGUAGUGUUUGGUUAGAGAGAUAAAUCUAACCAAACUUUUUGUUUGACCAGAGGAGUUUGCGGGAUGGGAUGGACGCUCAAUUUCACACAGUUAACAACUGUAACUCGUGGGCCCAUUUGUCAUUCCUUGGACCCCACCUGUCAUUCUCUUUUCUUUAUUUUUUUACUUUUUGUUGUGCCUUAUCUUCUCCAGGGGCGGCAGGCAAAAACGAGCACGCCGAGAGCUCCACUCGCCCCUGCCGCACUCGUCGCUCGCUUCUGGUGCCGCGCCGCCGCUCGCCCCUACACGCUCCGCCGCUCACCCCUGCCGCACCAGCUGCUUGCUUCCAGCUCCAGCUCGCCGGCCGCGGCUUGCCGUGCCGCACCGCUGGCCGCAGCUGGCCCCGCCGCUCGCCCCUGCAAGCCGCUAGACACCGCUGACCACAGUUGCCGCACCCACCGCUCGCCUCCGGUGCCGCCCCGCCGGCCGCGGCUCGCUCGUGCCGCACCGCUGGCCGCUGUUGCCCCCCGCCGCUCGCCCUGCAAACUCCGCCACUCACCCCUGCCGCACCAGCCGCUCGCCUCCAGCUCCAUCUCGCCGGCCGCCGCUGCCGUGGCUCGUGCUUACCGACGCGCGCCGAACAGAGAGAGACGGGAGGGGACGGGGACGAAGGGUUUCGACUCGUCCCCUCGUUUUGGAGGGAUGAGACGAAUCCGGAUCAGAGGGUAUAUUCUCUUUUGGAUGAACCCAACCCGUAUAAUUUCGAACCAAACACUAUAUAAACCUCCGAACCAAACACAUGCAUACAUUCCGCACUCAAAUCCUUUCGAAGGCCCUCUCAUGCCAUCAGUAUGGUCGGCUCGUUUACUUCAAAUUCAAACAUCAACUCAUAUAUUAGAGCUUUGCAUGAUGUCGUGGAUCCAUGCAUGAAUUGAGAAAAUAACAGUCCAGUGCACAUAGAAAUCUUAGACCCUACUGCUCAUCGGAAUGCAGAAGGCACCACCGUUAUCCCCUACUUCUCCAAGUAGUACAUGCGUGCCUCACCGGAAGACUACCCCAGUGUAUCUGGAGCAUCUUUCGUUACUGAUUUUAUGGUGACUCCUGUGUUGAUGUUAAUGUGUAGUUCAUAGUCCUUGUGGAUUUAAUAUGUCAUGGAUCGAUUAACAGGUUAGAGAUUCGAAUGGGGUUCGAUUAGUUCACUACUCGACUGUAAUCUAUUUCUCCAAGACAAACUUGUCGAUAUUAGGUUAGAGUCACCUUCACUGAACUGCGGACACAAGGACGCUGGGCCCACAUGUCACUUAGCAAGUCAGAGGGCGUAGUAAGCCUGGGCUGCAGCGAGGCGGCCGUCACCAGCCCCCCUUCACUUCUUUUUAAUGGACCCUAGGUUUCUUUUGAACCAAACAAUCCAAAAGACCUUACUCCCAAUCCAGAAGAUCUCGAACAUACAAAAGGAAAAGUGCAGUUUCUUUGUAUAAAUAUGCAUGUUCAUAUAUAUUAUUACUUGUAUUCUACAUUAAAAGCCAAUUUUCCUCUAGUUCAUCGCACUUGUUCAUUAGAUUAUUAGUAGGGUCGUGGAUUCGAAACAAGCGUAACCUGAAUCUGCGGGUAAUGUUUCACAAGUCUAUUAAUGUUGUCGCAUUAACUACUAGUAAAGUUUAAUUGGGACGGACAAAAUGUAGUCAUGGGUACAUCAACCAACUGCCACUUUCUGCAACUUCUCCUCCUCUCCCUUUCUCUCUCUAGCCUCCUACUAUUUGAAGCGAGUGAGCAAGCGCAGAAGCGAAUGAGGAAAGCCAGUGUGCGGGCGUUAUCCGUCUCCAUCUCGAUAGAAUCUCAUGCUACUUGGUGACUUUGUGAUGAUGUUAGUGCGUAGUACGUAGUCCUCAUGGAUUUAAUAUGUCAUGGAUCGAUUAAGUGGUGGCUCCUCCAUAUCCCGUGCUACCGCCGGUGGUUCACCGGCGGCGCAACGUGACAGGCAGGCAGAGACGGCAAGGAGGCGGUCAGCAUAGUGUGGGCGAGGCAGGGAAGAGAGUUGUCACUUUGUCAGCCAGCGCGAGCUUAGAUCAGGGACACAUGCCAAGCCCUUCUUGGCGAACACUUGAACACGUCUUGUAGAGUUGUAGAGGUCCUCUUUUAUUCCGCUUUCUUCUGUGUGGCUGCUCUAAUAGAGAUGACGCUAAUACUUUGCGUGAUCCGUCCAUAGGCAGUGGCAACGUUAUGGGAAGAGGUGGACUGAUUUGUCACGCACGAGCUAUGGCGGCGCCACUAUGGAUCUGUUGGGAUGUGCUAAAAUUGAGUAUUAAACUUUAGCAUUUAUUAGUGCUUAUAUAUUUAAAAGACUAAAAUUUAGUUCACCCAUUAGCACUUCUGUUUGGAUAGGCUAUGUGGCAGAACCAAUCCGCUUGAAUUAUUCCGGCUCAAGUGCGCUAGUCAUCACUGUACAUGUGAUACUAACUCAACGCACUUCAAAUGGAACAACCCAUUAGUCUGUCGGAUCACCACCCGAUUCAACCACGGUUACACGGGAUCGAGGUAGGUUUACCUCGCACGAAGGCGAGUUUACAAUUACACCACAGCUCACCAUCUUUUAAUUUACAGAAAUAUUAAACUUAUUACAAUCAGUUUUAAACUUAAAGUAAACUUAUACAAGCAUUGCUUAAAACUACAAGCUAUGCCAGCUUGUUCAGAGUCACAGCGGAAGAAAUUAACACGCGACUACACACGUCGCGAAAGUUGACACCACGCUCAGCCUGAAACAUGGCGUCAUUCCGGAGGGUCAUUGCCAACCGGGGACGGAUCUCAUUGCACGGACUAGCCAAACGGAACAGAGAAUGGCCAGGCUGGACUAUCCGUUUGGUUCUCACAGGCCAUACCUGAAAGACAGACUAGCAAGACUGAAUAUGCUAAUACUCAGUAAGACUUAACCGAGAUUGGGUAUACUUAGCCCGAAGCUAGACCAUGGAGGAUUGAGAGGUUCUGGUUUUCUUUUUUUUUGCUAAAAAGCGACAAAAAGUAUGAUCUAAUUUUCAUGUUUUAGCUUUCAGAUUCUAGUUUCAUUAACCAUUUUAAAUAAGCACCUAUACUAGAUAAGCAAGGUAGAGAUUAGCAUCCAUUAAGAUUAUUCCAACAAUAGUUACUGUUCUUACUCUAUUUGGCAGAAGGAGCUAGCAGUCUCAAUCUCCGCGAAAAACGGACGAUUCUGAACCGAGUUUCAUAACCUUGCAAGGGAUCCUAACUCACACGCUCGGAAACUUAACUUUCCGAACAACCGUUCCCUUCAUCUUCCGGGUUAUGGAUCAGGGCCACCACAAGCGACUGUAGGACCGUACGCACAUCCAAUGUGCAGGACGUACGUCUACAACGCGACUGUAUGACCGUACUCCUGGCUGCUAUGCAGAACGUACUCCCACACGUCGGUGCAUGUGUGUAACAAAAACCAAUCAAUCGAGUGGUGGAGACAAGUCCAUUUGCCGGGCCAAUCAGGUAUUAGGCUUACCGCAUACCAUAUUUACGACAUGUGGCUAGUACUUUCAAACACUUGACCACAGCUACCACACACUGCGACCUUAUCCACUUUUAUCAACACAGACAGGGUAACCUUUCAAGUCAUGAUACUGCACACGACCCCGUCCAUCGUCCUUAUAGCGAUUGCAGAAUAGUAAACAAUCAAUUCCUAUAUCGCGCGAGUGACAGAAAACCACUCGACUUCUGCCGGUCCUAUUAGCAGAGCAUCUAUUCAAUAAGGACUCAGGCAUAAAUACAUAGGUUUGUAGGAUUUAUGCAUCUAGGGUUUCAUUACGACUCCUAGACUUUAAUGCACAAUUUAUAUAUAUAUAUAUAUAUAUAUAUAUAACUUCAUAAGUGCAAUAAUUUGAAAUACUGGGUUAUGCACCGGGACUUGCCUUCUUGAGCGGGGCUGGGGUCAGAAAUGUUAAAGGCUUCCGAAUUUUGGUUCGGGGCUUCAGUUAAAUCCUCGGUGACAUUCACCUGGUCUUCAGAAAAUCCUUGCUCGGGUUCCGGGACUAGUUCGUAGACUCCGUCGUCGAGUGUCGUUGACUCUACAUGAUAUGCAGUGAUUUGAAUUAGGUGGUUCUUGAGUUAAAAAUUUUACUUCACGAUAAAGUUGCAAUCCAACAAAUUGAUAAACAUAACUUCAUAAAGCAAGAAUUUGAAAUUAAGUCUACUUUUUGUACCUUACUUCAAUUAUCAUAAUUAAUUGGAUUAAUUGAAUUAAGUUAACAAGUUUGAUUUUUAUUUUAAAAUCCACAAAGGCUAUGCUUUGAAUUUUUGUGGGUAAGCUUACUUCUAGCAGAUAAGCUUACUAUGAAUUUUUCAUAAAUUUCGGAAAACAGAAACUAAAGCAUUUAAAUUAAGUUCAAAUUUCAAGUUUAAAUUCAAACCUUAGGCAAAACAGUGCCAUAAUUUCUUGAAAGAUUUAUUAUGAACUACUCAAUUACAGAACAUCAUAUGGUAAAAAGAUCUAAGCAUGAAAACCUUAGUAGCAUGCUUUGAAUAAAUUUAAACCAUUUCAAGCUUGAUUUGCAUAAGCUUAAAUUAGUUCAAGCUAGGAUUCAGUACUGCAAGUGAAAUUUUUACACAAGCUUAUUUCUAACUUAACCAGGCUACGUACCAAAAAUCACAAGCAAUAGAGUUAGCAUGAAAAAUUUAUAAUCAAGAUACCCUUUUGCUAAACUUUAAAAUAACUCUAAAUAUAUUUUGUUUCAAACUGACCUCCAGUAACAAAAGUUGUAUUGGUAGAAUCCUGGAGUACAACAAAACUGGUUUGGUAAUUUUUGAAUUUUUUACAAAUUCCUAUGGAUUUUCAAAAUUGGCUGAUUUAAAAUGGGGGUACUGAUUCUUCACAGAAAGAACCCUGAAAAGAUUUGAAUCCUUGCAAUUGGGUCCUUGGCCGGGUUAAACAGAGAAGCCGAUCGACGACGACCAAAUUCCGGAGAGGGAGCUCACCGGCGGUGAGGGGAAAGUGGGGGAAAAGGUUCAGGAGCUCACGGCGGUCACGGGGGUGGCCGGAGUUGAGGAAGAGAGGGGCUGAGGCGGCGAGUCGGCGGUGAAUAGAGGCGGGCGGCGGGGCUCCUAGAGGCGGCGACGGUGUUCCGGUGGCCGGAGUGCCGGAGGGCGGCAGGGAAGUGGCUAGAAAGUUUCCUCUGGGUGAUGUGGUGCUGGUGGUGUGCUUGGCCGGGGCUGAGAGGGGGUGAAGCGCCGGGACAACGGCGGGAUCGAGUGGUGGCGGUGCUCGAGCUCACCGGCGCUGUGGUCUGGGCUGCUUGAGUGCAGGAAAAUGAAAUUGGACGGGUCUGUGAGCUUCAAUGGGUUGCGGCAGUGCUGUAGGAGCACUGGAUCGCGGGUGGGAGGCGGUGGAGGCGGUGGAGGCGGCUGACGACGGCGGCCAGGAGCUUUGGCGGAGCUCCGGCGAGGGUAGUCGAGCGGAGGAAGAAAGAAGAAGCAAUGCUGCGUGGUGGAAUGGGUAAAAGAAGUUGAGAGGGACUCUUGGGCAAGCUUUAAGACCAGGAGAAACACUGCGCGCGCGAAGCAGCUGCGGGCAAGCUCGGCGGCGUGCGUGGCGGCUCGGGCGGUGGCGGCGCGACGUGGAGGGGCGGGGAGAGGGCCAGCGCGGUGUGGUGGGCGGCGGGCGCGGGCGCUGGAGGGCACGUGGCGCGGAGAAGAGCGGCGCGGGGCAGUUGGGGCUCGGGAAAUGGCCGGCGAAGGUGGCGUGGUCACGGCCUCACGGGCGCGAGUAGAGCAGGGCGGGGGGACCGGAGGUAGACGAAGGAGGACUGGUUUGGAUUUUUCCAAAAAUGUAGGGGCUCCACUGUAAAGAUAAAACAACUUUCAAACCAUAGCUCAAAUAAAAAUAUGCCCAAAAGCAAAAGUGUAGAGCUUAGCAAGAUCUACCACUUUUCUUUAAGGGUCAGCUUCAAAAGAGUUAAAGAUUUGAAUCUAAUUUAAAACUUAGAAAAAGUUUAAACUUUAUAGAAAUCCUAUUUAAAUUGUACACUCCAAUUGAAUCCUUAGGGUAGUUUCACUUUUAUUCGUGGUUUAAAAGUAAGUACUUACUUCUUGCAAAACAACCCUUUACAUAUUUUGAUUUUACCUACCAUUCUCACAUAUUUUGCACUAAAGGACCUAAAUUUUUCCAGAAUUACAAAAAGACCCUUUUACCUUUGCAUUAAAGUUUUCAACACACAUACAAAAAAUCAAACACACAAACUCAUACUAGAAUCUAGUAUGUUUUAUUCCUAAGUACCUGAAUGUCACGGACUAAUGCUAAACUUUAGUACUUUUAAUAUUAAUAUUAGCACUUGGAUCAAACACUUUCGGUAUCCGGAGGCGGGUGAUUUUGUUCAAGAAGAAGAAGAGCAUUUGAGUAGAGGAGGCGGUGUCUGUCAGAGGCGCUGCCGUCUUGUUGAAGGGCGCGGCAAAAGUACCAGAGGAGGUGGUGGCAAAGCAUGGGGAUCGGAGAGCGAAAAGAGAGCGAGUCACGGACGAGGACGACAUCUUCUCGUAGGGCACAAGUGACCGGCCAGCACGAGCAAUCUAUACGACACGCGCCAAAGACACGUUCCGAGCGUUUAUUGGUGAACAUUCACAAAUGCGUUACGAGGUCUCUCUCUUUUUUCGCUCAAUAAGCACGCGCGCGCGAUUCGUUUAUGAACGUUGAUUUCGCUACACAAAGUUAUGGUUUUAAGCGGAAACCUAAGGAAUUUUUUAUGGUUUUAAGCGGAAACCUAAGGAAUUUUGAUUCUUGCGGAAAGAACGUGACAAUAAGAACGAACUAAGAUUUUUUUUUGACGGGGAACGAACUAAGAAAUCAUUUAUCCAUUAUUGAUCUUCUUUAAAUGACGAACCCGAAUCGCUGAUUAACUUACCAGGGGAUGACAGGCUGACAGCGGUAUAGUACAGUGUACAGUACAGGACAGCCAUGACGCGCCCGGCACAGCUAGGAAUAGGAAUUAGGAUGGUCCCUCCCUCCCUCCCUCCUGCUUACUCGAGGUGAUCGUGCGGCCGGAGCGACAUGAACAUGGCCGCGUAGUGCCUGAGCCGCCGGUCCCCGUCGUCGGGACCGGCGGCCGGCGGCGGCGCCACCACCGCGGUCGCGUCCACCUUCCUGGCCCUGUACCGGCGCCACGCGAGCUGGAUGUUGACGGCGGCCCACGUCCGCCAGUUGGACGAGUAGUACCGCGCCGUGUGCUUGAGCUUCUCGUUGGCGAACUUGUACCGGAAGUGCUCGGUGAUGAAGCGCAGGUCCGGCGCGUCGAGGCAGAACGCCUGCGCGGCCUCGACGCACUCGAACGUCGCCGACGAGGCCGGGAGCCGGUCCACGAAGGGGCGGCGCAGGCACCACGACAGCAGCUCGUCGCCCAGGAAGUUGCCCGCGCCCAGGAUGCACGUCGCCACCACGCCCUUGGUCAGCGGCUGCGUGCUCCGGAGCUUGCCUUGCAGGAUGAACACCAUGCGCUGCACCGGGUCGCCCUCGCGGAUCACCUUCUCGCCGCUGGAGAACACCAGCGGCCGCAGCCGGUCGCAGAUGUUGUCCAGGAUCAGGUCGUCCAUGCCAUGGAACAGCGGAACCUGACAAGGAUUUUUUUUUUGCAACAAUUUCAUCAGGCAUUCAGGCAAAGAAAACUGCACAUUUCCAAUCAAAUAUAAAAAGUCAGGAAGAAUCACAGGAAGUUUACUGACCAAAAGCUUAUCAGAGAGUCAGAGGCCGAACUACCUGCUUAACCAGCUCCAGGCAGAGGUAGCGCUUGAUGUCUCGCCUGAGUCCUUCAGGCAGGUCCUUGAUCAUCUCCAUCUCCUCGUCUCCCGUGACGGCCGCCCAGCGCUCGCGCUCGUACUUGCGGACCCUCUGCCUCAGGCGGGACGGCAGCUGCCUCCGUCUCAUCCACCAUUCCAUGUCCCGGAAACGCAGCUGCAUCUUCCGCUUCCUUGCCAGGACGGCAUGUAGAAAUACCUGCAGAUUCAGUCGGUUCUACUCAGCGAAGUGGUGUGACACGAUCAUACAGAAGGACCAAACAUGAAAAAACUGUUUUUACCUGUAUGUUUCCAAUCAGCAGUGUGAAGAGCAUCAAGCCACUGAGGACAUUAAUUAUGCUGAAUAUCACCUCGAGACCAUUGCUCGUAGGGGCCAGAUCGUUACCAAAAGUACUGCCAAGCAAUUCAAGGAAUUGUACAAGUUUUACGAAUAUAAUAAAGAAAGAAAGAAGGUUUUGAAUAUAUAGCAGAUUAUUAAGAUAAUUAUUUUUGUAGCGAGAACAGCCUCAGUGUUGGAGGCAAGUGAACCUAAAUCUCUCAAACUGAUUACCUGAGAGUCAUGAGCCCCCAAAAUAUAGGGUAGAGUAUUUUGACAGCAAGCGAAUUGCUUGAUAUAACAGGAAGAGCCCCCAAAUAGAUUCCAUAAGCAAAGGACCCAUUUCCACUUAGACAGGUAGACAAGUUUUGUUGACCAGAGGAGGUCACGUUUGUGUCACAUGCGAAUCCAUUAAUAUUUGAUGACCAAGAAGAACGAAAACAUAUCUCCUUUGAACAAGCGAGCGAUAUUAGAUCGCAACUGUUUUUUUUCUUGCAUUCCUCCUGAAGGCAGGAAGCAAUACGCUGAAUUGCAAGAACGUACCAACAACCACCUGCGAUCUGGAUAUGGCGGAACGUUUGUGAAUAAACAUUGUUCAGAUAAUUCAGUAUGCAUUAGUCUUAAGUCUACUACCAAUUUUAUAAGAAUUCCACAUCAACAAUAUAUUCUAUACUUUCCAAUUAAUUACAUAGGAAGGGAAUACUCACAUGAGACGCAAUGAAAUAGGCAAAUAGAUUUAGACCAAAUCCCCACCAUAUUGUUCCAAAGAUGUAACCAGUCACCUUCUGCAUUUUCCUCAUGAUAUGAAUACUGUGGUACACCUUGGGGAGGAAUUGAAAUAUGAACAUGAGCAGCAAUAUUGUCAUGAUAAGUUUAACUUGCUCUUCCCUUAUUAACUUUGGUAUAACCAGCCAGAAAAUGACCUGCAUAAUUUGAUGGACCACCUUGUUGAGCAAAACAGAACUUGCAAAUUAACAGAAAACACAGCUCAAUCUCUAUAGAAACGAACUUCAGGAACAUAAAGAAAAAAAAGAAACAGAAAAAAAUGCUAAAUUCUGCCUUUGAGAUCCUUCUUGUAAAUUGUUGACUUUUUCUGAUAACAAAAGCCCCUGAAUAUACUGUAAACGCUUCUGUCGAAUAUCCUAACUUUUCUCAGAAAGGUGUUGUUCAACCAGUGUCUGUCUAUUAGCAAGUUUUCUGACAGUACAUUAUUCGAAAUAUUAUCUUAGACAAUCUGAGAUGGCUCCCUUAAAGUACAAAAAACCAAGUAAACGUAGAGAAAGGAAGGGUGUUAAAAACCAUUCUAUAACAAAAAGAACAUGUGGGUAUGACUGAGCACUAUACAACUAGGUAUGUCAACUGUAGAUCAAUCAGUUACGCGAACAAAAUAAUUUGAACUAUUUUUUUAUGAUAAACAACUGCCUCAAUAAUCCAUCGAUUGAUUUGGAAAGGAUAGAAAUAGCGUAUUCCAUCCAUGACUGGUCCAAAUAAGCACGGCUCCACGUACACCAUGAAGCCAUGCCCCCACGUGAAAUUGACAGGUGCAAUCAUGUGAAACAAAAGGAAUAUGUUCCAAAUAUUAUGCGACAAAAACUAGGCCUCACUUAGAAAUUACAAGAUUAUCUGGAUGACAAAGACUGAUAAAAAUAGAUAAGAAAAAAAAAUCUGGGAGUGUAGCCACAACACCAGGUUUGCUCUGAAGUCUCAAGCAGUGACAGAUGUGAAAUUGGAAUAUCCUUUUAUGCUGCAGAACAAACCACAAUUUUACACUUGUAAAGCUUGUGGCAUUGCAAUCUGGUUGGCUUGUGGGCAUAGAAAACUGUAAACAAGCCACAAGGUCGCGCUACCAUCAGCACCAUACUGAUAGGCGUCACUGAACUACCGUUUUCUAUCCAGUUUUCUUCCAUCACUGCUGGUUACCUCAUUGUAAGUUGUAGCCACGGUCAUUUUCAAAUACCAACACGAUACUGUCCUUUUUCCCAACAUCGCGUGAUUGCAUCCAUGGUCAUAUUCAAACACUAUCAAUCAUUGUCGUUACGCCAUUAUCGAUCCGUACUAGAAGUUCCGUAAUCGCAUCAAACUCUAUCAUUCUGCGGCUAACCUCCGACCUGAAUUCUCCAUCCUCCCAGCAAUCACCGUGGGGGUCAUGAUCUUUCAAGAAAACUGCACCCCCCCCCCCCUGCCACCACACACAUGACUGCCAAUGCCAGAGUUGCACAUUCUUACACAUCAGCUUGCUACUGGGCACUGUUGUACCUGCAAUGUACUCGCUUGUGUCCUACUUCUGCCAUUUCGACAGGGAUCCAAGGGCGUUGUGCGCUGUCUCAGAAGCGGACACGAGACAUGUCCAUAAUUUGAGGGCGUUUGAUCCCUCAGGCCCUCGCCUAAACCGCUACAGCGUUGGAUCAUAUGCUUGGAAUCUUUGUUCCGGUUUUUUUUCAUGGUGAAAAAUGGUAGAUCGAGUUCAGGGAGGGGGAGGGGGAUCAUGGAUGCCAGCAGCUGACCUGCGGGAUGGGGAGGAUGACGAAGAGGUCGAACCAGAGGCCCUUGGCGGAGCGGGCGUAGUGCGCGGCGAUGGCGCGGGCGUCCCAGACGAGCUUGCCGCAGCCGACGACGAGGGACUCGCGGGAGACGUAGGCGAGGCGGAACUGGAGCAGGACGUGCGCGAGGUGCGCGGCGUCGGCGCAGGUCCGGAGCGCGGUGACCGCGGCGGCGAGGCCGGCGUCCAUGUAGAGGCAGGGCUGGCCGGCGCGGCCGAUGGAGAGCGCGUAGAAGAAGAGCGGGUCCACCGCCAGCGCGGCGGCCCGGCCCAGCAGGAUCCACCGGUUCCAGCGCCGCACGCGCUUGCUCCGCGGGUCCAGCACGGGCCCGAACAGCCACCGCGCCGCGGCGCCCGCGUGCUGCGCCGCCGACACCGGCGCCGCUGGCGUGGCCUGCUGCGCCUGGACCGGCACUAGCGAGGACCCCGCGUCGGCGUCCCAGCCCGGCUCGUGCACCUGGUCGCAGGUCGUGGAGUGGAACGCCGGCACCCCGGGCUGCGUGCACGCGUAGCACUCCCCCGCCGGGUGGCCCGCCGACACCGACGACCGGCCGCUGCCCCCGGACUCCUCGUCCCGCACCGCGCCCGGGCUCCCCCUGACCCCGUCGCACACCCGCUCGAGCAGCCUUGUUUUGUUGCCAAGAAAACAAACAAAACUCAGGAGCGGAAACAAACACAAACACCCCCAAGUCCAAGGCGAUCGAAGCCAUUGCCGCAAACUCGAAGAACUCAAUUUCAUCAAAAUGAAGCCGAGGGGGAUCGAGCACGGACCUCGCGGGGAGGGAGCGGAGGAACGCGAGCGGCGGCAUGUCGUCCCAGCCGCGGCGCCGGGAACCAUGAACGGAGGACCCUUCCUCGCCGGCGCGAGGUAGGCGGAGGCGCGCGGCACCAGUCCAGUCCAGCGAGCGCCGAGCGGAGGAGCGCGCGCUAGGCUGCUGGCGCUGGGCGUGGGAUGAGCAGAGCAAGUAAAGAGGAGGGUGCAAGUGUACAAGUGUGCGGGUGCCCAAGCACGCGCCGACGUGGCGCGUGCGUGCGCCGUCCUUGCGCGCCGGUGCGGAGCCUCCCCGGUGCACCUACCGGAUCGACGAGAGCGACCAGUGGGGCACAUCACCAAACAAACGAAUCAUCGAUCGUGCUACGAGUUUCGAUGACCCGAUUUCGUACCCGGACCUGGCGCUGCUGCCUCGUUUCUCGCAACCACGUACAAUAAUCAUACCAAAGGUUCAUGAUAAUAUUGUGGCUUUCCAAUCAUGAAACAGCAUUCAUGUCUAGAACCUGGAACUGGCGACGGGCCCUUGCCCUCGCGAUGUUACGCGGGGCAUCCGCGUCCCGGUCCUGUGCGGCGGGAGUGCACUAGCGGCGCUCGGGGCCCGUACGACGGCGGCGGCGCGGCGGCUACCGAGUACCAGACGCAUCUUUUUGGUCGCGCGCGCGGCAGGGAUGAGGCGGCGAGCGUGACACCUCGCGUCGUGUGCGGCUGGGAGUUGGAACCUUGUGGAGUUGACGUGUUGAACUUGUUGUGUGGCGUGAAGGGGGGCGUGUGCGUGUGCCCGCGGUGCGUGGGCUGGGUUCAUGCGAGCGAAAAAAAAUGAGGGAGGGUACGGCCCGUGCAGGUGCAUGCGGGCCUGGGCCUGUGCUGUUGAAUACGCAUGCUCGGUGAUGCGUACUAGUCUGGGCCGCCGGUGGGGUCAGCUGGGGAGCCAGGCCGGGCCUCAGAUGGCGAUCAGUGGCGAAAGCUUCCAUUCCACAAACAGGCCUCACGCCGGCAGAUACAUGCGGACAACGUUGUCAGCAUGUUCUUGGCAGCAUGUUCAUCAGUUCAUGGAAUGAAUCAUGCGAGGCAGCGAGGGGGGCCUCGCCUCAUAAGGUUGUCCCUCUCGUCGAUGAAACGAGAGUAUCAGACAUACACUCCGGGGCGAAGUCAGAAUAUAAUGUCAUCAGGGUCAGUCAGAUUCUUAUCAAGUUUAACCGGAUCUAACAUGGGGAGAAAUUAUUAGGUAUAAAGGAUUUCGCGAAAAUCAUCGAGGUCGGCCAGCUCUACACCACCACAAAGCUCCGCCCCUGCAUACACCUAGGGCUCAUCCGCUCCCUACCGCUUCAGCUCCGCGCCUAGUGUUCAUACUGCAGCGCGGAGCUGGGGAGCCACCUUUUCAGUUGGUUGUAGCACAUCGAUAUUUGUUUUAGCUCCACGCUACAGUGUAGUAUAGUCCCACACAGUACUGUUGCUGUAGCACGGAGCUGAAGUCCCUCUGGGUGGAGCCGUUCCCAAGGCGCCCUCAGGCAGCGUGCUGCGUGCUGCUUCUGCUGAGUGUGCAGUGCAGUGUCCAUCACUCAAAUAGGUUCACCGAGUCUCAAGGCAGCGGUAGGGAAUACAAAACCUGCAACAAACUGAACAAUAGUUUGUCUCAGCUCCUUUUUUUUUGUUUACCUUUUUUUCCUUUUGGCUUGCACAAACUACUAGCUUCCAUUGCCUGCAUCACCAUACACUCAUACAGCACCAACACUUACUUGUCCAGAAAAACAACACAAUAGUGAAAAAGACAAAUACUCUCCAAAAGGAUCUUUGAAAUGGAAAAAAACAAAUAAAAAAGGUGCUUUCAAAAACCAAACAAAUGCUUUAUGAGAAGAAACUCCCACGAAAAAGGGAGUCAUUUCCAGCCGUCGAAAAAUAGGACAAAUGGCUUCAGAAAAAGAGGACGAUUCUUCUCAGCCGUCGAAAUGGGCGCACAAGGAUACAAACCCACCCAACGGCACAUGAACCACGCGCCCCCCACCGGGGCACCGGGCACUGACGUGGGGCCACACACCAGUGGCACAACACGUGCAGUACCCGCACCGUCGCACGGAGCCACGGACACUUCACGAACACCUGCAGUGGCACGGCACGGCAACGGAAAUGGAGGGGGAUAUUUUAAGCUCCCCCUCGAUUUUCCUCCGCCUCUCGAACUAGUCAUCACUCAUCGCAUCGCCCGCAUCGCGCAGCGCUCCACUGCACGCGCGCAGCAAUGGCGACGAACGCCUCGCCUCCGCUGCAGCUCGCCACCGCCUUCCGCCCGCUCGCCUCCGCCUCCGCCGCUGGGGGCGGGGGCGGGGGCGGGGGCGUUGGCCUCCUCGCGGGCGGUGGGGUCGCGGCGGGGCGCGGCCGAGGGCGGACGCAGCGGCGGGUGGUCGCGGCGCGAAGCGUGGCGAGCGAUCGGGACGUGCAGGGGCCCGUGUCGCCCGAGGAAGGUGCGUGGCUGCGUCCCCCUGCUGGCUCCUACUUAUUCGUUGACGGUUGGGUGGCAAUGCGGUUCGAAUUGAUGUGGAUUGCUGCGAGUUGCGAUAAGGGUGUGUGAUCCUUGCGCAGCGCGGGUGCGUGCGCUGGCCUUCCGUGUGUUUUACAACCGUGGUGAAUUGCUGAUGCGGGUGGUUUGUCUGGGUUAGUGGUGGUUCUGUGCGCGAGCAUUGCUAGAUUAGUUGCAGUUCGUAUUCUAGACGUUCGCCAAAUUUGCGAAUAAACUUCAAAAUGUCUUCGCGGAAUUCAGUAAAACUGGGGCUGUUCUGACGGUCCUGUACCUAACAGUCGAACAACGUUGCAAGUUCAGGUAAUUUCUGGGUGGUGGGUUGAGAUCAAGCUCUAGUUUGUUUGUGCGAUAAUCCAGUAUACAUCAACCUAUCUUAACUAGCAGAGUUGUACACAUAUUUAGGCUUUUCGUUUCUUCUGAAGGUAUUUGAGACACUGGUCAGAUUCCAGGAUCAGUGAAUCAGACAAUAAAAGAAAAAUGAUCAAUCAGCUGAGGCAGAAUAUUUUGUGAGACUCUGUAGAUAUAACUAGCUGAUGUGGCUGCAAAUAAAACUAGCACACUUUGCCCUUGAAUUUCGAUUAUACAUAUAUUUGUUGCAGGUGAUGGGUUAUAUAUGUGCCAUAUGCAGGUUACAGUGCAAUAAUUUUCACAAAGUGCAAUACUUGGGUGAUUUUCUUUCAAUUGGACAUGUAAAUUUCAUACCAUGUAGGAUGAAUUUUAAGGUUCUAAAAUUAUGGUCUUGCAAUACAGGGCUUCCAAGUGUGCUAAAUUCCAUGGACUCAUGUGCCAUUGCAUCAAACAUUAAGCACCAUGCAGAGUUCAAACCCUUGUUCGCUCCAGAGCACUUUUCGCCCCUGAAUGCUUACCAUGCAACUGCUAAAAGUGUCUUUGAUGCACUUCUGAUAAACUGGAAUGCAACAUAUAAUUAUUACAACAAAAUGAACGUAAAGCAAGCAUAUUACCUGUCCAUGGAGUUUUUACAGGUGCCGCAACCUUCUUCCUACCUCAUUAUUUGUCUUUUGCUAACUGCAUCCUGAUGUUAGUUGGUUAUUUGUAUAAUGCAUGCAGGGAAGAGCUCUCACAAAUGCUAUUGGCAAUCUAGAGCUAACUGGUGAAUAUGCAGAAGCAUUAAAACAACUUGGACAUAACCUAGAGGAUGUUGCUAGCCAGGUAAGGUUUGUUUAAGAGACUUGCUUCAGUCUGUAUCGAAACAUUGCCAUGCACUUUCACUAUGCCAAAUACCCCCAACACGUUUAUGAUUGGUUCCCAUUUUUUAUAAUGUGGCUUGUGUUCAACUGUUCUUCUUGUAGCUUCUACAACAAGUCAGUCUAUAAAAAUUUUUUGAACAAAACUUUAUUUGAUGCUAAAAUGCUCUGCGUUUUCUUAAGUUUUGGAUAUGUUGUAUUUGCUGCGAAACAGGAACCAGAUGCUGCCCUUGGCAAUGGUGGUUUGGGCCGCCUGGCUUCUUGUUUUUUGGAUUCUUUGGCAACAUUAAAUUAUCCAGCAUGGGGAUAUGGACUCCGCUAUAAAUAUGGCCUCUUUAAGCAGCUCAUAACAAAGGAUGGUCAAGAGGAGGUUGCUGAGAAUUGGCUAGAGGUACCGAUAUGACUUCUUAUCUUUGUACAACUUGAUCUCCAGAGGUUGAUUAUGUCGGUAUAUUGGUUAAAAAUUCAAGAUGAGUAACUAUUUAUAGAUCUGCCUGUUAGCUUCUUAUGCCAAUCAUGACUGCACAUUAUAUUUUCCAGAUGGGAUAUCCAUGGGAGAUAGUAAGAAACGACCUCUCCUAUCCUGUGAAAUUCUAUGGUAAAGUGGUCGAAGGCACUGAUGGUAGGAAGCACUGGAUUGGAGGAGAAAAUAUCAAGGCUGUGGCUUAUGAUGUCCCUAUCCCUGGCUACAAGACUAGAAUUACUAAUAAUCUACGUCUUUGGUCGACAACGGUACCAGCACAAGAUUUCGACUUGGGAGCUUUCAAUGCUGGAGAUCAUACAAAGGCCUAUGAAGCUCAUCUAAAUGCUGAAAAGGUGUAAUUUGUAUAAAAUUUCCUUUGGAGUAAUUAAUUCUCAGCAAACUAAUUUUUGAAGGCUUAAAGUGUCCAAUUGCGUCUGUAUCCUCUUAAUUUGGCUUUACAAAUUGUCUAGCAUCUCAUUUCAUUUCUUUUACAUCUUGCUCUUCUUGAUGCCACCUUCUGUUGUAACUAAAUCAUAUAGUGUUCAUCUAUUGGUAUUGCUCAUCUGCAUAAAUACAAAGUAGAUGAUAACAUUUGGUUCUUGAUUCCCAUACUUGAUAGCAUGUGUGUUUUGUGUUUAUGUUUGAGUUUGUCCUUGCAUCUUUGAUACUGUUUUGUUAUAUUUUUCGUUAUUGUUUAGUGUUAUGUUGUGCUAUUGUACAAGUCAUGGCUUUAUGUGAGCUUGGAAGGAGUCGUUAUAUGUAAAUUAUGUCUGAUUUACAUGUUUUCUUGUCAUGCCAGAUUUGCCACGUAUUGUAUCCAGGUGACGAAUCACCAGAGGGGAAAGUUCUCCGCUUGAAGCAGCAGUAUACAUUAUGUUCAGCCUCACUACAGGAUAUUAUUGCUCGUUUUGAGGGUAGAGCUGGUGAUUCUCUCAACUGGGAGGACUUCCCCUCCAAGGUUGCAGUGCAGAUGAAUGACACUCAUCCAACAUUAUGCAUUCCUGAGUUAAUGAGAAUACUGAUUGAUUUUAAGGGAUUAAGCUGGGAUGAGGCAUGGAGGAUUACUGAAAGGUAUCUGCAUUGCCUAAUAAUCUGAUCUUGAGAUUUAAUUAAGAUCUAAAUACAAAUUACACCAUGAUCUUCCUGUUCUAAUUAACUUAUUUAAUUCCCUCAUUUAUCUUCAAUCGGUGCUGAUUUCCUAAUCAUUUCCAGAACCGUGGCAUACACUAACCAUACAGUGCUUCCUGAAGCUCUAGAGAAAUGGAGCUUGGACAUAAUGCAAAAACUUCUACCUCGACAUGUUGAGAUCAUAGAAAAAAUUGAUGAGGAGGUAUUAGAUGUGCAGAAAAUGCUUAUGCAAAUUAUUUCUUGCUUUUUAAGUUGACUUACAAUUCCUUUUCUCUAUCUUUGAUUGUAACAGCUGAUGAACAACAUAGUUUCGAAGUAUGGAACCACAGAUACUGCGCUAUUAAAAAAGAAGCUGAAAGAAAUGAGGAUUCUGGAUAAUGUUGACCUUCCAGCUUCUAUUGCCCAACUAUUUGUUAAACCUAAAGAAAAAAAGAAAUCUCCUACUAAAUCAAAUAAGAAAUUACUUGUUAAAUCUUUGGAGACUAUUGCUGAGGUUGAGGAGAAAACCAAGUUGGAAGAAGAGGAGGCAGAAGUUCUAUCUGAGACAGAGGAGGAAAAGGUUGAAUCUGAAGAAGUUGAAGCAGAAGAAGAAGAUUCUGAGGACGGGUUAGAUCCAUUUGUAAAUUCUGAUCCUAAGUUACCAAGAGUUGUCCGAAUGGCAAACCUCUGUGUCGUUGGUGGACAUUCAGUAAAUGGUGUAGCCGAAAUUCACAGUGAAAUUGUGAAACAGGAUGUGUUCAACAGCUUUUAUGAGGUAUCAAAACGAGGAUUUGAAUAUUGUCUCUCCAUGUUCUUAUGAUCAUUUUGGACACAUGACAUUCCUCAUAUGCUCUUCUUUUGGUGUUUAUUUGGCAGAUGUGGCCAACCAAAUUCCAGAAUAAAACAAAUGGAGUGACUCCCAGGCGUUGGAUCCGGUUUUGUAAUCCUGAAUUAAGUACAAUAAUUUCAAAGUGGAUUGGGUCUGAUGACUGGGUGCUUAACACUGACAAACUUGCAGAACUGAAGAAGGUAUUUCCAUCCAGUAAUCUAUUUCCUUUUUCAAUUUGCUAGUAACUUACAAUAUGCUCUGAGUUUCCUUGUUACAUAUGCUGUAUUUUGUUCUAACAGCAGUUCAUCCUGUAACAGUUUGCCGAUAACGAAGAUCUGCAUUCGGAGUGGCGCGCUGCUAAAUUGGCUAACAAGAUGAAGGUCGUCUCUCUUAUAAGGGAUAAGACAGGAUACAUUGUCAGUCCAGAUGCAAUGUUUGAUGUGCAGGUAUAUUUCUGUAACUGAAUAUCAGGGCUAUCAUAUGGACUGGUGGUGAAGUUCAUGGUUGUAGUGGUUCAAGUCAUUAGUUCAAGCCUGAACCCUGACCCUUUUAGGUUUGCUGAUUCUUAUAAAGAAACAUAUAUCAUUUGUUGGUUGACUUAAGAUUUCUCAUCUGGAUUUCUUAGGUGAAAAGGAUACAUGAAUAUAAGCGACAGUUGCUAAAUAUCCUUGGAAUCAUCUACCGCUACAAGAAGAUGAAAGAAAUGAGUGCAGAAGAAAGAGUAAAGAGGUUUGUUCCAAGGGUAUGCAUAUUUGGUGGGAAAGCAUUUGCAACAUAUAUACAGGCAAAAAGGAUCGUUAAAUUUAUUACAGAUGUUGCAGCUACUGUGAACCAUGAUUCAGACAUUGGAGAUCUGUUGAAGGUAACUUUAUCUCUUCUUAAUACCACUUGCUAUAUUUAAUUUCCAUCUUCUGGUAAUAUCCAUAUGACUUCGACUAAUUGUCUUGUUGCUACCAAAAAGUAACACCUACUAUCAUAUGGAUGCUUAACCACGCUACUUCAAACAGACAACUAAUGACCAUAGUGUUCACAGUCAAAACCUCUGAGAUUUUUGUUUUAUUUCCAGGUUAUAUUUGUUCCAGAUUAUAAUGUUAGUGUUGCUGAGGCGCUCAUUCCUGCCAGUGAAUUGUCCCAGCACAUCAGGUAAUAAUCUAAACAUUAACAUUCUGCAAAUAGGCGCAAAGGACUUUUACCUAAAUUGGUUGAGGUUGAAGUUUUCAUGUGACUUUUCGUUUAUCAGAAAUGCUGUCACUGUUUUUUUGUUUCUAUGGAACAUGUGCUUUUCUCAACCUCGUAUUAUCAUUCAGUACUGCUGGAAUGGAAGCUAGUGGGACCAGCAACAUGAAGUUUGCAAUGAACGGCUGCAUUCUUAUUGGUACUUUAGAUGGUGCGAAUGUGGAAAUCAGGGAGGAGGUUGGAGAGGAAAACUUUUUCCUUUUUGGUGCAGAGGCACAUGAAAUUGUGGGUUUGCGGAAAGAGAGAGCUGAGGGAAAGGUACUGCACUUGUUUGUAUACUGAUCCUUUUGUCAAGCUAGUGAACAUCUUUCCAUCUAACUAUGUGCAGUCCACAUAGCGCACAUCAAUCAAAUUAAUAAUUUUACCACUUUUUUCCACUUGUAGUUUGUGCCUGACCCAAGAUUUCAAGAGGUUAAGGAAUUUGUCCGCAGUGGUGUCUUUGGGACUUACAACUAUGAUGAAUUGAUGGGUUCUUUGGAAGGAAAUGAAGGUUAUGGACGAGCAGAUUAUUUCCUUGUUGGUAAGGAUUUCCCCAGUUAUAUUGAAUGCCAAGAAAAAGUUGAUGAAGCUUACCGAGAUCAGAAAGUAAGUUCUCCAGCUAACGCUGUUUAUUUUCUUGGUUCUGUGAGAUGAGUAUGCAAACUUCUAGCCUUCUGAUGGUUUAUAUGUAGUGUUUCACUAUAGCAUGACCAAUCAAAAUCGUAGCACGGGUUUCUAUUAAUUUCAAACUACAACACUUUCCAAUGAGUGAGAUGUUGUAAUUCUCAUGUUAGUAAUGGGUGUAAUUAGAGUUCUACAGAAUUCUUUCUGAAAAACAUGAAAGACACUUCUCUGUCAUGUUUAUUUUCUUGCAUUAUUUUUCUUGCUGGGUAAGGCUUCUGGAGUGAGCAGAUCAUCAGGUUGGGCACAUUUCACAUCAUUAUUUAGGCUGGAGAGUUUAGCAUUUAACUACACUAUUGUAUUUAAGUGCGGUCGGGUUCUUUCUUCAUCGUACUUUUUGGCAUUGCCUUCUACUCACCAACUCAUGAAUUUAUACUCCUACCCGCAGCUAUGGACAAAGAUGUCUAUCCUCAACACAGCUGGCUCAUCCAAGUUCAGCAGCGAUAGGACAAUUCAUGAGUAUGCCAAGGAUAUCUGGGAUAUCAGCCCUGUCACCCUUCCCUAGAGAGGGGGGUAUCAGGCUAUCAGCGGCUUUCGCCCCCAUUUCCGGCAGCCCUCAGGAUUAAGGAGCAACUGGUCGCGCCAUUUGCCUCAGCCCCCUAGCAGUAGCAGGAAGCGCUGCUCGCCUCAGUUUUUGUGUAGACAAACGAAGGCAAGAUGAGGCAUAGAUAAAUGAUGGGACUAUGCUAUGCAUGAUAGUUUCAUCUAUUGUAAUACUAUUGUCAGUUGGUCAGUACCUUGCCUAGCUUUGAAGCUGGGUUUUGCCGUGUAUAUCCUUUAAUAAUGCUGGGGCAGGAAGACCAUCCAUCAUUUGGCUCGCUGCUGAUCUGGCGACGUGUAGUGUAGUUAGCCCAUUGCCUAGCUUCCUGUUGGGGUUCUUUCUCUACUGUGUAAGUGGCCUUUUCGUAACGAAAAGGGCGGGAAAGUACAGGCGACGCGAGUGCUGGGGUGACGUCGCCAGAUUCGCCACCAUUCGUAGGCAGAUUGGUGGGAUCAUGCAGUGUGAUCUCUUCAUCGUGGCAGAGAUCACGAUCUCUAAGGUGAGAAGAAAGGGAUAUACGGGGUGAUUAGAUAGGAUCAAGGAUGGAAUUGACUUCGCUUAAAUAAUGAAUCUGUGGUACGUUCGAGCAGAUAGGAUGUGGAAUAGGGGUGCGACACGAAAGCUAUGGGCACCGACCGAUUUUAGAUUUAGCGAGGGCCAGGCCAUCGUGAUUCUUUAUAACUCUGUUUACACUUACUUUUUUUUUUUGCGAAAAUCUCUGUUAUGGUGAAUGCUAUUUUAUUUAUUGCGGGAGAUUAUAGAUGUUCGUAAACUAAAUGACAAGUGAAUUGCAACAGAGGCAGACCAUGAGAGAUGGAUGAUGGGAACUUGUGUACGGCCUAAACCAGUACAUUAAUUGCAGCUUUUGUAAACCGCAUAAUUAGCCGAGAAAAGAGAAACGUUUAUUUUUCAGUUUUACAGGGGAACACUUGACCUUCUCGGAUUGCCGAGUGACGUAGCCGUUGCACUGCAUUUGUUGCAUACUGUAGGAGCUUUCACUCGCAGUCGCAGAUUCAUGUGCCGCCAGAUUAGCAUCUACCGAGAGAAAGGAAGCGUAAAGUUCCUUGUGAUAUACACCAUUUUUCUUUUGGAACCGAUGAUCCGCACCAGAUAUUUCAUUCUUUUACUAGUCUGAAUACGAAUUCGAAGGAGUUGUUCUAAAACCAGGAUAAGGACCCCUCAAAAAAAAAACCAGGAUAAGACACAUGGUAUGUUACUUUCAGUAGUGUCUUUUCAGCAGCAGUUCAAAUUUUUUUUCUUCUUUUUUUUUGAAGUGGAAUUCGGUGUGUGGAGCUAAAAGACGUGUUUACAGAUGAAAGCUCGCUGUGGGCCAUAUUGAACCUUUCAAUUCACCCACAGUGACAGUGUAUGCAUGGACCAUGGAGUACAGCUAAUGGUGAAUUAUAAAAAUCAGUACUGCCAUUUCCGUUGUCUGUUUAUGUCGAACCUCGUAAUGGACUUGGUCGAAGCUUGGAUACGCAUCAUGCUAAACAUUCCACUAUUCUAAUCCACACUCUCUAAAUAAUCAUAAAUCAUUCAUUUUCUCAAUAACAGUGAUCACGAUGUCUGAAGGCUCCCUCUCGAUCAAUGCUUUCAUGUAAAACCUUUACUAACCUCAAGAGGUGCGUGUGCUCGAUACCUGUGUGUUUAAGUUACAUGACAUUCACUCUUUCUUUAUUUUUCGAGAUGCGUUUCUUUUACCAUUUAGGUAUAUAUAGUAAGGUAUUUUGCAUCUCUUAAUUUUUUUUAUUUCUAAUGUAUCUUCCGGAAGAGGAAAUAUUCUAGCUCCAACACUGGCAACAGUCACAAGCCUGCCUUCCUUCUAGUAGAAGAGUUCUCAGAAUCUGCAAUGCCAUUUUUGCCCCUCACCCACUGAAGCCGCGACCGGGACCCCGGGGAAGCUCCAAAAACGCCUAGCCUUCCCUAGGUUAGCCUUCCGACGCGUCUGCCCCGGACACCGAUAAAAAUCGCGACAGCGACGCCUCGUUAAUAAAUUAUUACCCCGCGCCCGAUCGGAAUAAUAAUGCACGGCCCCGGCACACCUCAACGCGGCGGCGCCACGCUAAAAGGGAAAAAAAAAUCCACCACCACUCCUAGCUUCCGGUGCACACUUGUACUCCGAGGCACAAGCGCAGAGCAGAGCAAACCCUCAGCUAGCUAGCUCGCCAGCCAGUCAGUGACAAAGAGAGCUCGCGCCGCCGCAGCUGAGCUGAGAAGCUAGGGAGCUAGGGGAUCCGAUCGGCUCGGUGGUGCUGCCCAUGGCCGGCGCCGCCGGCGACGGUACGGAAGGGGUCGGCGGCGAGUGGCCCUUCGCUGGCGCCGACGCCUUCGGGGAGUACUCGUCCGUCUUCGCGGAGCUCGGGUGGCCGGGCGGCCUGGCCGCGGGCGCGGGGGAGCUGCCGGUUCUGGAUCUGCCCGAGGCGGCGGUGGCGGCGCCUGCGGAGGCGACGCGGCCGGUGGUGGAGGUCGUAGCGCCAGCCAGGUCGGGGGACGCCGCCGCUUCGUCCAGCUCAAGCGGGGACGGGGACGGGGACGGCGACGGCGACGGCGCCGCGCCGGGGAGCCACGAUCGGAAGCCAGCCGCUUCCGCCGGGACAGCGUAAGUGCACGCGCCGUAGCGGUAGUACCCAUAGUAGCACGAGUUGACGCUUGGCUGGCGGCGCUCGGCUCGCCGGCGGCGAGUGGCGGUGGCGGAGCCGUGCUUUUGGGGCACGAAAGCGAGGCUCCGCGACACGUUCUUACGUGCGCUAGCUGCGCGUCCGCGAGGGGCAAUCUCGUCAAUAGCCGGCGGCACGUCCACGCAGAUCCGCGUGCCGCGUCGUCGGCUCUCGCGCCGCGAUUUGCGUGCGCGGAUUGUUCCAAGUUUCACGCGCUUUCCUUUGUUUUUUCCUCCUCCCUCUCCCCUUUUUCUAUUCUGCAUUUCCGUAGGUUAUUGUUGAUCAGUAUUUCAGUAUACCAUUCACCUGUUCGUAUGCAUACGUAUUAGUAGCAUUUUUUGUUAGCAAAUUGUGCAUCUUGUUAUCAAUAGAUCCAAAUAGAAACAGCCUCUAUAUAGUUUGAAAUUUGAAUGGGCAAACUUAAUGGAUACGGAUGCUUCGAUCAGAAGUUGUUCAAGGCAGCAUUUCUUGACGAAUUGUUUGCUCAAACUGCAUGUUUAUUUUGAGAAACACCUUUCAAGCAAAGAAAAGAACCGGAAAACAUACACAAGAGCAUGUCCCAUGCUUUAUUUGCUCCCACUUUCCUCGCUGAUCUGCAUGUCAGCAACGUUGGCGGCGAGCGGCCGGAACAUCCAGUGGGGGCCGUGGUGUGGUCACGUCCAUCCUGCCAUGAUCGGCCGACCAAUUUCCUUGUCUUACCUACCUUUGCCGAGUUCAGUGCGCAUUCAAUCCUGCACUCCAGCCUACACUGCAAUAACUGCUCGAAGGCAUGCAUGGAUCGAUUGAAACUGACGCUUGCUGCUGAUAGAUCUGCUCACUAUGACGACAUGCCAGUACACCAUGACAUGCCUUGUGUUUAGUUUAGUUUAGUUUUGAUGGGCAGUUUUGACCUUUUUUCUUCAAAUAAUAACGACAUGAAAGUUGUUUGAGUUUUUUCGUGAUCGGUGUCGUUUGUCUGAGAAAGCUUUGCCGGAUUUGCGAACGCAGGAGUACGAAUCCGGCCGCGGCGAGGAAGGGGCAGAAGCGGGCGCGGCAGCCGCGGUUCGCGUUCAUGACCAAGAGCGAGAUCGAUCACCUCGAGGACGGCUACAGAUGGAGGAAGUACGGCCAGAAAGCUGUCAAGAACAGUCCUUUCCCGAGGUGAUUAUUCAUUGCUUCAUCCGUCUCCUACCUUUCUAACUGCUAUAUAUCUCAUUUUAUGUACACGCAACCAGGUCCCCUCAUUUUCACUGUUUUUCUCCCCAUUGAAAUCUUCAUGAUUGUAGUAUUAGUUUGAAAACUCUGAGUUUUACAAAGGAAAAAAUCUAGCCUUUUAUAAACUAGAAAUUAACAAGAGAGACGAAUUUGGCUAAAAUUAAAUGAAUUCUUGAGCAGGAGCUACUACAGGUGCACCAACAGCAAAUGCACCGUGAAGAAGCGCGUGGAGCGGUCCUCGGCCGACCCCUCCGUUGUGAUCACCACCUACGAGGGCCAGCACUGCCACCACAUCGGCUCGUUCCAGCGCGGCGGAGUAGGCGCCGCGGCGGCGCACAUCCAUCAUAGCGCGACGGCCGUCGCGCUUGCGGAGCAGAUGUCGUCGUUCAUCCCCCCGCGGCAGCUCUACGGCUUGCCGCCGUUGCACCCACAGAGCUCGCCGUCCUCGGAGACCGUCGUUAGCCCGACGUCCACGUCUUUGCAGCAGCUGAACGGCGGCGGCGACGAGCUGCGGCAGACAAGCUUCAGCCCAAGGGUUUCCAUGGUGCGGUCGUCGCCGCCGACGCCUUCAUCCGUGCCUCCGGCCAUCUCAGUUGAGAAGGCCGGGCUACUGGACGAUAUGGUGCCUCAUGGAGUAAGGCACGGAUGAUGGCAAAAUGGUAAAGAAACUGAGCUAAAAUAAUAUAUAUCCAGUACGGAUUUUAUUUUUAGAGUAUUGCAUGGUCAUAUAUAGCCUCGUUGGCAAGUUAUGUUUUUUUGUCUAUACUUCAAUUUCGUUUUCCUUAUUGUGUAGUCUGAUUAUUAGGCCGAUAUUUUAUUUGUUUGAAGUGGCAUAAUUUAGUUUUAGUUAUUAUUGUGAGCAUACUACCUUCUAAUGUAACUUGCUAAACUUAAUUAACCUCUAGCUUUGAUAGAAACACUUCAUGGUGACUUGUUUUUUUUUACUUUUUAAAUGGAGUAGAGCAAUGCAUCUUCUCAACUUUAUGUUGGCAUGUACGUAAUAGGAGCAAUUGGCACUUCAACCGUACGUGGUGCAACAAAUGUACAUGAAUGUGUGUCUGCUAGCACACAUGUGAUUGAGUGAUGACUCGAGAGAUUAGAAAAAAAAUCAGAGAGAAAACUAUACACAUGUGACUGAGUAGUAGAGUAGUCGGAAGACUUUAAAAACCAUAGAUAAUGAUAUAUACAUGAUACUCCGAGUUAAAUUUUUGUCUUAGGAAAUAGCUGAAUACAAUUUUUUUUUGUCUUAGGAAAUAGCUGGGUACAAGUUAUUUUUUCUGUUCCAUCUCCAGCGUCCGUUUUGACUAGCUAGUUUUUUUUUUCAUAUUGCUCAUGGUGGAUGGGAAAAAAAUGUAGUAGAUAAAUAGGUAAAUGCCAUAGAUCCCUUUCAGCAUAUAUGCUUGGUUGCCAUCAUCUAGAAAACUCUACAUAAACACGCAUAUAUAGUAUAUCGGGAGGAAAGAUGUGCAUGUGCAUUCAUACUUGUGCACAUGCAAGACCAUUCCUAGCUAUCUUUUUAAUCAAGUUUAUAGAGUGACUUGAGUUGACCUGUGGAGUCUGAUCUAAUUCAAGUCCACACACAUCUGUUGCAGACUUAUCUAUCUGAUGAAGUCCUCUCGGCACCAGCUAUAGGCAGCUACCAGCAGGAAGGCAGAUCAACCAGCUAGGGUUCUCUAUCUCCUGCGGCAUUACUCAUCAAUAGUUACUUUAAAUUGAUCUUUAAAUGACCAGCUAAUGCAUGUGGAUUGUAGAGAUUAUGUAAUACUCAGCUUCAAUUUUUAUGGACGAUUAUGGUAUUUCAUAGCUAAUUUAUCCAGAAGUGACCAGAUUUGGACUCUUCAUGGCAAUUUUUUCUGCCCAGAGAUAACUUACAUCAGAUUAUUACAUGACCCAUCCUAAAUUAUUAGUCGUUUUGACUUUUUUAGAUUUAUAGUUUUUUCUAUGCAUCUACGUAUAAAUAUUAUGUCUAUAUAAGUAUUAUGUCUAGAUGCAUUGCAAAUCCUAUACAUCUAGAAAAAUUAAAAUAACUAAUAAUUUUGGGAUGGAGUUUUUUUCCGGUAAUAAUUCCAGUACCUAUUGCAACUUCAAUUGGAAAUUGAUGGAGAGAUGUUCAGAGUUCAGAACCCCCAACCCUCCCUGCGUCUGCGUCCGAUGUUCAGUACGUACAAGGGUAUCUAGCUGGACAAAGCUGCCGCACUAAAACUUCAUAUCCUCCGAGCAGCUAAUGAGCUAACCCUACUUGGAAUUCAAUUUGGUGUGGAUGGAAUGUUCCCUUCCGCUCCACCAUGCUUGCUCCACCUGCUUCCUCUGGUACACUGGCACUGCUACGUGAGGUGUCCCCGGGUUCACAUGCAGUGACGCAGAUCUACAGGCCCGGCCGGCCCGCGCCUUUAGUGGCAGCCGGUCCUACCAUAGAGAGGACGACGCUGCCUACCUCGCCGUACCUUCGGCUAGCUGGAAGCCUGGAAGGCAUGAGCCCUUUCGAUUCGUUCGGUUCCUAUCGGCGACAGCGGCAGCGGCAAUUGGGCUAUCCGCUAUUAUGCUUCGUUCCUUUCUCAUCUUGUCGACGUUAGAUUGACCGCGACCAGUGAGAGGGGUGUCGUUUCCGGAAUUCCGGUGGUGGUGCUCGCAGGCUGGCCGCUGGCCGGCCUCGGCGGCGAAAGGGGCGCACGCCGUCGGCCGCCGUGUGAACCGGAGCUGGACGAAGCGAAGCGACUGAUGGGGUGUCAGCCGUGUGGCUUCGGGAACUGACCGGCCGGCGCGUCGGUGGGAAAGUUCCAGGAAAGGGAAAAAGGCGUAGCUACCUGCUCCACUCCCUGCCGUACGUCUCGGCGUUUGGCGUGCAGGGGGGCUCCACGCGUAUGUGCGUUGGCUCGCUUGACCUUGACUGCUAACAUUUAUAUUUAGUCUACGAAAAGAUACGUUCACAUAUGUUGACGCCACCGCAGACUCCAAGUCUCCAAUGGUAAACGAUACCAUGUCACGUCUUGUACAAAAGUAACAGAACUGCUGCUUCUUCUUCUUUUUUGUUUCAUGCCUUCUCAUCUGGGUACAAACAGAACUGCUCUUUUUUUUGUUUUUUCUUAUUUGAGGGGGACGAACAGAACUGCUAGGUGGUAGUGGCGAACAUGCGUAGCAGAACUGUCCCCACGGCCCGACGGCCCGCGCGAUGCUUUCGGCCCGGCGCGCGCUGAGCCUCCUCGUGGGCCCGGUAGGCCGCCGCUUCCGCGGCUCCGCGCGCGCUCGCGGCCGCGCCGAGAGAGUGAGCACCGGCCCGCGUAGACGCCGGAGAUCGCGCGUGGGCCUGAGGCUGAUCCCGCUUCAACACGAUCCAUAGGUUGAAGCGGAUCGUGUCCGGGGCAGCACACUCAAAUGUUUCACUAACCUGCUUUGACCUGUAUAAAUUCCAUCGCAUGUGCUUACAAUUUAUAGAGUGUAUGCUUGCCGUAUCGGAAUGCAAGUGAAGCUGACAUUGUUGAACUUUUUGAACGAACAGAGAAACGAGGGGUCUGAAUUCGAUUCUCAAAAGUCAAGUCUCAGGAAUCAUGGGACACAGGCGUGACGACACUGCUUCUUUCGAAAUUCUGCUUGAUUUGGGGGCAUGUUUGAUACUUAUUUCUUCUGACUGAACAAGGUAUUCACUGUGCAGUGUUUCCAAUAUGAGCAAAUUCUUUUAGUGCCAUGAAAGAUUUGAUGUCUUCCUUAUAUGCCGUAAGAUUUUUUGAAUUGCCCUCGGCGCCAUUAAAUCUAAGAUUUAGCAGCUCAAUACCACAACCGUUACCGUUUACUUUUAACGGAACACAGCUGGAAGAGGCAUUAGCAUCACGUGAAAUGAUAUUUAUACCCCUACUACGCUGACCAAAGGGGUCACUGAAAUCUUAUCAUUCACCUCCACCGGCUCCUCUCCCAGUCCGUUCUCUUCUCCAUCCCGACGCCUCUAUCGCGCCGCCUCCCUCAGCGAUUCCGCCUUCCUACCACCGCCUCCGACUACCCCUGCGCGGCGCGGCAGAUCCUCACGCUGGCGCCGGCCCCUCGCGCGGCGCGGCGGCUCCUCACCCGGGCGUGCCGCGAGGCAGCGCGCGUGCAGUGGUGCUUCCGUGCGAGCAACCGUCGGGCUGGGACAACAAAAGCAAGCUGCCUGUCUCCGAGACUGCAAUUGCAAGCCAGCGAACUUGACGUCACUAAAUUUUAAUCCCAUCACACAUCGAAUGUUUGAUACUAAUUAUAAUUAAAAUAAUCGUAUAAAUAAAAAAUAAUUCGCGAGAUAAAUUUAUUAAACCUAGUUAGUUCAUAUGUUACAGUAAAUAUAUGCUAAUGAUGAAUUAAUUAGAUUUAAUAAAUUUAUCUCAUGAAUUACUCUCAAUUUAUGCAAUUGGUUUUAUAAUUAGCCCAUAUUUAGUCUGUCUAAUUAGCAUCAAACAUCCGAUAUGAUCCGGAUUAAAAAAUUAGGCUCCGGAUCCAAACAAUCAUUAAUCAAGAGGCGUACGGCAGGCUAACAGUGGCGAAGUUUGAGCAAAUUAGUGGAGGGUGCAUUUUCCCUGUGAUUGCAUAAAUUUAGGAUGUGGGGUGCAUAUAUGGUAAAAAAUUGAUGCAUAUUACUGAUUUUUAUUUUUUUUGUAGGUGCAUGUGCAACGUCUAGGUACUAAAGGGCUGUUUGGAUCCCUGCCUUGCACGCCGCGUCAUGCCACGCCACACGCGCCGCAGGCAAACAGCCUUAGUACCUUCGCCCCUAAACGUUUUGCAAAUAAUACAAUACUUUUGAAUGUUUGAUUAUUUAACAUAUCAACAACAACAAGCAGCUUUUCUCUCUAACAACAAUGUUUACUGUUCAGCACCCCUCUAAUCACUUUUCUAUCUACCACCAAUGUCUGAGAUGUUUUGGCACUUAUAUAAUAGCCCUAGGCGUGAAGUUUGGCAAGGGGAGCCGUGCAUCCCAGACUUAGAGCUGGUGUUCGAGCACUUCUGCAUCCACGCCGGCGGCCGCGCCGUGCUGGACGAGCUGGAGAGCAACCUGGCGGUCACGGACUGGCAUAUGGAGAGGGGCAAAUAAGUCUUUUUAUAGCCAUUUAACAGCUCAUAGGCGGUUGUGGCACUGAGAGAAUAAAUCUUAAAUUCAAUGGCACUAAGGGCAAUUUAAAACUUUUUAUGGCAUACAUGAAAGACAUCAAUAAUAUUUCAUGUCAUGGCACUGAAGGAAUUUACUCUCUACUAGAUAAGUUCUAAAUUCCAUAAGAUCCGCGCAAUGGAUGUAUAGAAAAGAGCACUCUAUUUUUUUUACUGUAUUUCCAAUCAAAACAUGUAGAGGAAAGGUCCCCAUGUGGACAGGAGAGUGAGUAAUGGCGACUUAUUUCAUUGGAAAUUACUGAAUUUUUCAAGUUAUAUAUUCGUUUCUAUUAGCACGAUCGCAUGAGCGACAUGGAUAAGACAACGAUGCACCGCUGAAAUGUGAUGUGACCAAAUGAGAAGGCUCGGCUUGCAUUCGUCGAUAAAGAACAGAGAGAUUGUUUCACCAUGGGCUACGGCGACUAGAUUGUAUUCAUCUGCUUGCGGGCACUUUGUUCACAGAGCAUGUUCAUUUGUGCUACGGUACUCGUAUCCGCUGUGGAAGGAUCGAACAUGAGGCAAGGUUUGUUAUUCUGCAAAAAGAAGAAAAGAACGUCGAUUCUGUAGUAACUUUUAGGAAUACAAUUGAUGAAUCAACCGACUAUAGCAGGUCCAUGGGUACAAGGAAAUUUCCUCGAAGCAGCGAGAGCACAAGCGCUCGAGGAUCUUACAUCUACAGACGUCCUCCAAACAUGAAAACACGAAACACAGAGUACUAGCAGCACCGUCCAACUUUUUAUGCCUGACAGAAGAGAAAAUCGUAGCGUCUCCUGCAAAAACAAACUAUAAUAAAGAAUGGUCAACCAGUUCCUCUUCCUUUCUCGAAUCCAACUCCUGCAGGCCGCGGCUCUCCGGGGGCUUAGGCGACCGCGGGCAUGUCCUUGAGCCAGGCGUCGAGCGGCUUGCCGAUGGAGUAGACGAUGAAGCCGAUCUCCCUCAGCUUCUCGGGGUCGACGAUGUUGCGCCCGUCGAACACGAAGGCCGGCUUCUGCAUGUUGUCGAAGAUCUUCUGGUAGUCCAGGGUCUUGAACUCGUCCCACUCGGUCAGGAUGCACAGGCCGUGGGCGCCCUUGGUGGCCUCGUACGCGUCCCAGACGCAGCUCACCUGCUUCACAGCCGUGGGGCUCGUCGGCUGCAGGUGCAUCGGGUGGUCCCAGUCGAACUUGUUCAUGGCCAGGUCCCGCUGGAUCUGGUCCUCCGUCACCUGGGGGUCGUAGAUGCUGAUCUGGGCCUUGUCACCCAGCAGGCCCUUGCAGACGUCGAUGGCAGGGGUCUCCCUGGUGUCACCGGUGUCCUUCUUGAAGGCGAAGCCGAGGACGGCGAUCUUCUUGCCGGCGACGGUGUUGAACAUGGACGACACCACGCGGUUCACGAACCGGCUCUUCUGGUAGUCGUUGAUCUUGAUCACCUGCUUCCAGUAGUUGGCCACCUCGGGCAGGCCGUUGCACUCGCAGAUGUACACCAAGUUCAGGAUGUCCUUCUGGAAGCAGGACCCACCGAACCCAACACUGGCGUUCAAGAACUUGGGGCCGAUCCUGGUGUCCUUGCCCACAGCAUACGCCACCUCAGACACAUUGGCACCGGUGGCCUCGCAGAGCGCGGAGAUGGCAUUCACAGAGGAGAUCCUCUGCGCCAAGAACGCAUUGGCAGCGAGCUUGGAGAGCUCAGCAGACCAUAGGUUAGUGGUGAGGAUCCUGUCCUCAGGAACCCAGUGAGCGUACACAUCCUUGAGGGCCUGGACGGCCUUCCUGCCCUCGGGGGUCUCCCGGCCACCGAUGAGCACUCUGUCAGGCUUGAACAGGUCCUCAAUAGCAGUGCCCUCCGCAAGGAACUCCGGGUUGGAGAGGAUCUGGUAGUUGAUGCCCUUGCUGUUGUGAGUCAAGAUCUUCUCAAUAGCCUCAGCAGUCUUGACAGGGACAGUGGACUUCUCAACAACGAUCUUGUCAGACUUGGAAACAUCUGCAAUCAUGCGAGCAGCGCUCUCCCAGUAGGUGAGGUCGGCAGCCUUGCCGGCUCCAAGACCACGGGUCUUGGUGGGGGUGUUCACCGAGACAAAGAUGAUGUCAGCCUCAGCGACGUGCUUCUCAACAUCAGUGCUGAAGAAGAGGUUCUUGCCCCUGCACUGUUUCACAACAUCAUCGAGGCCAGGCUCGUAGAUGGGGAGGGUGUCACUGUUCCAGGCCUCAAUGCGGGGCUUGGAGAUGUCGACGACGACGACCUCAAUGUCUGGGCACUUGAGGGCAAUGACGGCCAUGGUCGGGCCACCGACAUAGCCAGCACCGAUGCAGCAGAUCUUCACCAUCUUGACAGCUAGAUCCGUGACCUGUAAUUGCAAAAGGUGCUUCUUUAGUGGAUUGUAAAACAGAACCCAUAAUGAUCCUGACAUGGAUCAGACAUGACAAGCAAGUGUUUCAAGUUAACUGAACCGAUCAGGAUUCACAAACAAAAGCACCAGAUCCUGAACAUUAAAGCAAGAUUGAAAUAACAGAGACAUGCAAAACCAGGUUCUAUGAAGGUCAUUUUAACUUUAUUACUGAACAAAUAGAAGUUACCAAUUUGGCAACAUCUGAAAAAGUUUUCCUGGCAUCUAAAAAGGUUUAUUUUCUUUGGAAGGUUUAGGACGUAUCCAGAUCUCCUUUUUGUUGAGCAAUUAUAGCAUAUAUCUGCCUCCCUGCUGAUCAAAACUGACCCAUCUACGAUCUACCACUCUUCUCAACCAAAUACAUCCGCAGUUAAUGCUUUUAAAAUUCUUUCCUUAGUCGAACCUGACAAAUCAGGUAUCCUGUGAUCCCGUUCCAAGUUCCAACUACUACUCUACGGUUUACUGAAAAAAAAAACAGCGCCCAAAAAGAAUGACGAUCAGGAACCAGAUCCGUGACCAUCAAUCCAUUAUGAAUUUACUUCACGAAAACGAUAUGAACACCACCACCAUGUUCUACCGCGGUGAGCCAGAAAGAUCUGAAACUUUGAUCCAAGACGGGAGCAGAGGAUACAAAUUCCAGGGAGCGCAAAUCCUAUUUUCAGUUACUACACCGCAUAGUCGUGAUCCGAAUCAGAUCCAAACCACGAAACUCUCAGAUCUGAGGACACCAUCUUCCUCAGAGAACAAACUCGGGGAGCAACUGCUCACAGAACUAACUCGAGAAACCAACUACUCGCAGAACGGAAUCACGACCGCCGCCUGGCAUGAUCAGGCGCCGCAAGUAAAAGCAGAAAAUCAAAGGAAGCAAUCGCGCGGGAUCGGGGUUCGAGUCUCACCAGAUCUCGAGGAACUGCAGGGAGAUCUCGCUCGGGGAGGGCGGGCACCCGCACCACCGACGAAGAGAGACGGCGAUCUCGCUCUCUCUUCCUGCGGGGGGGCAGAGGGGAGAUGCUCGCUGCCUACGAGUUGUGUGUGUGUGCAGAGGAGAGGCGAGGCACAACUCCUUAAAUACCCCGCCACGCAAACCCACCGGACCAGAUCUACCCCUGCCCCCUUCAAAAAAUAACCGGGCCGUGUCGAGGAAAAAAAAAAGUAACGCGUCAAGGGUGGUCAGAAACCAGUAAAUGAGAAUGGGGUGGUGAGGUGGACGACGAGUGCUCAAGCUCAUGCAUGCCACCAAACUUGCAAUAAUCAAAAAGGCGCUCACAUGAGUCCAUGACACUCCACCAAACCACUUUCCUUCGAUACCCUCAGCCCCUCACAAAAAAAAAGAGAGAAAUUCUCCAACACCAGCAAGAGCAUAAACAAAAGUUUUGUUUUUUUGGUUGCUGAUUGAGCAGUUUUGGUGUAACUGAGCAGUCUGAUGGUCUGAUUACUCUCUGUCAGAUCUGGCUCUAUCUCACGUUCAGUGCACAGAGACUAAGGUCAGGAGAGAUGGGUGCGUACAUGUAGCCCAUGAACUGGAAGCAAGUCAAGGAAGAACAUGGCCUGCAGAAUAACCUAAGAGUUGCUGCAAUUUAAUCCCACGGUCAACUACAAAACAGCAACCGAAUAAUUGAGCUCUGAACCAUAAAAUAUGCUGCGAGUACUAACCAAGGAUGCAAAAGCUACAGUAUUGGUGACGGGGACGUAAGAAAUGCAGGCCGGAUCAACCGAACCGAGGCAGUAGAAAACUUCAAAGCCUGGAGCCCUGGACAGAGUCAGAUCCAGGAAGCUGAUGCCGAUGCUUCUCCCAAUGAUGCUCUCCACCAAGUCACCAGCCAAAACGUGUGUUUUGUUUGCUGAUUAAGAAACACAGGCUGGAUCCAGUGCAGGGAAACUCCAAGGUUGAUGAUAUAAAAGUUAAAGAGUAAGGGAAAAAUAAAGGGAAAAUUUUCCUAGCUAGGGAGGCUUUGUUUAUGCAGAGAUGGAGUGUAAGCAGGAAAAGGAAGAACUAUCUUAGUCUGUAGUCACUGUCGUUUGAUUAAUGCUAGUCGUAGACUGAAAAAGACUCAUCUUUUUUUCUACUUAAGCCACCAUUUAGGAAAAGGUUCUAGUGAGAAAGUUCCUUAAUUUCCACAGUUCUAAGUCAUGGAUUGGCACAUGUUCAAGCUACCAAGUCAACAGAUACCCUUGUUUGUCGCCCAAAAGAUAAAUUCUUUCAAAGUACAAGUCGUUGCAUAUAUUGUUAAAUACUAAUACACAACAUAGGAACCAAAAACCUGUUUAGUCAAACUAAUUGAAAUCUAUUCAAAGGAAAAAAAAACUAAGUAAGAUUUUUUUUUAAAAAAGACAAUAAUUUAAUAAAAAUGAUCAUAACACACAUCGCUUUCGGCUUUGGACGUCAUAAAUAAGACACAAGACAACAAGCAAAACAAAUCACCAUUUUAAAACCCUCACCACCCCUACCAACAUGCAACAUCACCAUCGAUCACACCAACAAAAGGAAAUGCGAGGAGAGCCUCCCACCGAGACAUUUCAACAAACACCGGAUCUGCAUCUCGGCUCUGGCUCCUCGCCAACGGCAGUUCGCGCACGAACCCGCCGACAAUGGAGUGAAGCAGAGGAAAAGGAACUACCAUCACGGCGUCGCCCCCACCCGAAUCGGUUGCAACCGCCGCGGAGGCAACCGCAACCACCAACCCAAGGAAAGCAGGUGGCUCGCCUUUGAGUGCCUCUCACGCGAGGCCAAGAAAACGCAAUCAGGCCAUGGCAGCCACCUGCAGGCGCGCACGACGGAGCGACGACGAGGCGUACGGUUCGGAGCAGAGGGAAGGAAGAACCGAGAAGUGGGAUUUCUGCUGCAUUUACCUUCGGUCGCUUGACGUGAUGGGGGCAGCGACGUCAACUUCUCCGCCGGCUUGGCGUUCUUCUUCCUCCUCCAGAUUUAAUCCGGCUUCAGUUGGGAGUAUUUACUGGCUGAACGGAGAGAGGGAAGGAGCAGCUACCACGUAUCACUUGCCUUUUUUAGAGCGUGAUUUUGUUUGUUACUGCGUGCUGGCGUGCAGUUAGAAAGGGUGAUUGGCAAAAAUAUCCUGCAGUUUAUUUUUAUAAACCUGCACAACACAUAGUACGUAUUUAUUUAUAAAUGAUCUCUUUUAUAAUCUCGUGACCUACUAUAUGAAAUCAAAGAUUUCGAAAUAAUCAUGUAGAAAUUUUUACAUUGUUUUCAUUAUCUGUGUGCAUGAAACAGAAACGUAUGGCCACAUCUCCCCAAUGAAAGACACUUUACUAGUAUAGUUAUAUAUGUUUAUAUAAUAGUUAUUAAGAGAAAAUAAUAGUGCCUGCGUUAUCAAACAACAAAUAAAAUCAUGCAUGCAUAGUACCUCCGAGUAGGUGUUUAGGGUAUGUUUGGCCGGAGGAGUAAAAAAAACUAGCUCCGGGGCCUCCGGUUGUAAGUGACAGAGUAGGAUAAAGGAGAGAAAAUUGAAUUUGAUGAAUAAUACCGCUGCAGUGAUUUGUGGUGGGAGCCGGAACCGGCCGAAAGCCUCCAAACAGGCUCUUAGUUAGAAGAUUGCAUACAUGAUCUCUUAAAUCGUGGAUGCGGUACUUACAUGUGUAAGCACCCGUUAAGCACCGGACUACUAGAGCAUCAUCAUCAAGCAACAGUUCUAGAGGACAUGGACUUUCUGCAUCCUUUGCGGUGAGGGAAAGGGUUUGUCUUUUGCUAAGUACGGAACCGCGCCCCUGUGCACAUCGAUCAUUUCGUAUGCAUGGGGAUCCAACGGUGACUUUUUAGCACGCCGCCGCGUAGAUCUCAGGUUCGGUCCUGCAACCACCCUGCUGGUCCUGCGUGCGCCUCCUACCGAGCUGCAUGUGUCCAACAAAUCGUUGGAAGAAACCGUGCGGUCACAUCGUGGGGAAAAGAGAGAAAAAAAAAAGAUAUGCGACAAGCAGAAACCCCACGCUGAUCAUAUGCUUUUGAGACGGUGCGACAUGUCAUUAGACGGAGACGACGGAGGUCAAGUGGCACUGGGCCAAAACGAUCGUUCAUGUGCGCCACCGUUGGGAAUGUCCGUCCCUUCCUGCAGAUGGAUGAUGGAUCCAGUGAUGGAGUAGCAAAGAUCGCCGGCUGCUGUCGAGAACAGCUGAGCCGGAUGCCGGGUCAGGCAGCGCCUCAGACGGCCUUGUCCGAGUCAGACCUCAACGGCUUGACACUAACCAACCAGUUAAUCGAGCUGACAACGCCAUUGCAGGCUUGCAGCGUCGUUGAGUAAUUUUCUGUCAGGAAAAGUGUGCGCGCAAAUCAGCCACACCAAACUCUGACCCACAAUUUUGUCAAUUUCUACGAUUCUACUAGUAGUCUUCCAGGAACUGAAUGUUUGGCACCGCACAGUCACGCUGAGGACGGCUCCGACUGCAGGCUGCCUAAAAAUGGACCCGAAGAGCGACGACGACGACCUGCGGGGCGUGAUCAGAGCCGAGACGCACGGCCGGAGCCGCCACUUCGUCAAAAGAAGCGGGAGAUCCGCGUCGCCGUCGUGCGAAUUCAGCAAGUCCGCCUGAUCGAUCUCGCCGGCCUGAUGGCCUCCGGCGUCCCGGCCGUGUUCGGCACGCGGCGGAGUUAGGCCGGGGCGUCGGUUCGUCUGGACAGCCUGAGAUCUGUUUGGCCAUCGGGAGUUGGAUGGCACGACGCGACGGCAUCAACCGACCGACAGGUUGCUCCCGCUGUGUCUUUCUGGUUUCUCUCGUCCCCAAUGAUGGCGGCCAUGGCGUGUGCCCGCUUUGGGCACGUUACUAUGUUCGAGGCGAACAUGCGGGCGCCCUGGUCCUGCCUGCGCGGGGCUCGCCGCUCACCUACCCCGACAGGGAAGGGAAGCAUCAUCACCCUUGCUGCGACCUUCGCGUUGCAACCGCGAAGGAGCUGUCGAAACUGCUGGAGCAGAAAGAGCACCGUUUGCUAGUGCUGCCGCGCCGACGAUGCUGGUACGCCCAAUUGUUUGGUCACUCUGAACCGUCUCUGCCUCUCUGGCUGUGAGCUACGCCGGAGUAGCUUGUCUUGUUUCCAAGGUUGGUGAAGGGCCGCACCGUAUCCCAAUUCCUUCUGUUCUGUACCAGUACUAGCCAGAAUCAACUGGUCAUCGGGCGCCAGACCUGGCAAGGACUAGAGGACAAGUUGGGCGAGCAAGGUGUACGCGUACAUGCGCAGGACGACUGGAAUGAGAGGAAUACGAACACUAGUACUGCGAUGUGGACGUGUUUUUGUGCAUGUGAGAGGCAAGGAAGUGAGAACUGGGAAGCAACCUCGGUGGUCAGCAGCGGCGGACACUGCAGGCAAGGCCGUUGGAAGCCGCCUCGCAGGUGAGGUCGCAGCUCCCCUGUUGAAAACUCCAACCCACGGGUCGCCCAGGGACGGCCAACCCAUGGUCCCGUCACGUCCGCCCGAACCCGACCUCUUUGACGGGAGCGCGCGGUCGUGACGGCGACGCCGGGUGAUGAGCUGGAGCUCAUGAUGCCGGGGCCUGGCCACCGCGCUGGGACGGGAACGGGGACGGGAACCUCAUUCCCCACGCUGGGAUUUUGACUUUCCAACGUGCGCCCCGCCGGCUCGGGCUGGCGGCGUCACGCGCCUCCCCAAUUCUUUACGCGUGCCGAUGGAUGGGGAUCCCCCCGGUCUGCCGCGGGCCGCCACCGACUGGCCGGCCGACCGACCGAUGGUGGCGCGCGCGCAUCUCCACCUGCCCCCGCGCGCGGCGGGAGGCGUGGCUCCGCUGCGGCCGCCACCACAUGGCGCUGGAGUUCGGCGCGCACCGGCCGGCCGGGUAGAGGAGGGGUCCAGAACUGCCGCGCUGCUCGGUGGGUGGAUCCACGUCGUGUAGCAGGUAGCAGCAGAAGGACCAGGCCCAAAUAGAUGCAGUCCGCGUUGCCUCGCAGUAGAAGCCCAACGUGGCCCGAACUUCCUAUUAUAUUAUACCUGGAGGCCCAUGUCCGAACUGUCCUUUUUUGGCAUGUGCGUGAGUUCUUUCUGGCCUGCGCGGGUGCCACAAGCCCACAACAAACAUCCUGCGUCAUCAACCUCCCCAACCGUGCGUGACGCAGAGAGAUGCAGCACACCGCGGCAGUUGAGCGCCGGAGGCCGGAGCGGGUGCGUCGUGCCCCGGAUUCGAAGGGGCGUCUCGGCGCCCCUGCUCCAGCCGUCGGCCGGCGUUCGGUAGCUUAACCCCACGCGGCCACGCCGCCGCUGAUGGAGAACGGUAGGGAGCAAGGAUGCCGUGACUCGCGAGUCGCGACGUCCGUCGGAUGGCGAUGCCGCGGCGGCGGUGUGCCCCCGUGUCCGUCAUUGGGGCUUGGCAUUCCAUCGAACACCUCCCGCACCGGCGGCGAGCACCUUUGUCAGGUACGCCGUGGCACGCAUCGCUGCAUUUUGAGUAUCCUGCGUUCCUACUUUCAUUAGUACUCUCGAGAUUCGUUCAAUUUUUUUUUUGGGGGGGUGGGGGGGUUUGGGGGGGGGGGGGUGUUAUUGGCACGGUGGACGGGUGGAAAGCGAGAGACGUAAAAAGUUGUUAUUUCCGAAUUUGUUUUUCUUUUUCAGGGUCACUUUCAGUACCAGUGCCUGCCUCGUUCUCCAUGACUCCAUUUCAGAACAUAGCGUGUCUAGCUCAGUAGUCAGUAGCUCCAAGCCUCCAAUGUGACAGUUCCUUGUGUUGUAAUUUCUCUUCCAAGACAAGGUUUACUACCUUGAAUUGAAUAUGAUUCUCGCAGCUAAUGUUUGCCACUGUGUGCGUUCUGUUUUUACUUUUGACGAAUUAACCUCACCUCCAUUACCAUGUGUCCAUGUUACUUAACUAUAUCAACAGCUCCACCAUAUGUAGAGUAACUAUGGGGUAGCACAUACACAGGUUGUAUGCAUUUUAUUAGAAUGGCUCCCUUUAAAUUAGAGAAAGAAGGGCUCUAUGGAUUUAAUACAUGCAUAUAGAUACUGACAGACAUAGGAAAUGAUUAAAGAAACGCAGAACCCAACUAUGCAAUACUGUAACAGUGUAGUAUAACUGUGUGCGGAAACUGAGCUGAAUUAUGAAAUGUCAUCCUUCUUGUAGCAAUUUCACAAGUUUGAGCAAGUUCUCAUGAGAGGAUCCUCCCUCUCUGAUGCUUGCACAUGCCUUGUUCUUCCACAUAACUGCCCUCGCCUUGAUGUCCUCGUCUCCCAGCAGCUGAUCAACCUUGUCCUUGAUCUCCUCCUUGGUGACGACCCCUUGUUCGUUGGCACAGAGCUUCAGGCCUGUCUUCCACACAUUGCACACGUAGCUCUGGUUGCAGAACUGGUCAGCAAAGUAGGGGCAGCACAAGAACGGUACACCAUGGAGCAAACCUUCCAUCGUUGAGUUCCACCCACAGUGUGUUAUGAAACAAGCAACUGAAGGGUGUGAGAGUACCCUUUGCUGGGGAGACCAAGUAACGACCAGUCCCUUGCCAGCGACACUCUGCUCGAAUUGGUUGAGCCUCUCCUCUUUGAUUUCUUUGGUGAAGUUUGGCCGGACCACCCAUAGGAAUGGCCUGCUAGAUAACACAAGUCCAUUGGCCAGUUCUUGGAAUCUUGUUGCAUCAAAGACAGUAGAGCUCCCGAAUGCGACGUAUAUGACAGAGCCUGGGGCUUGCCUAUCAAGCCAGGUCACGCAGGUCUGGUCUUCAGACCAGAAAUUACCAUUCAGCUUUGACAUCGGAGCUACCAAUGGACCAAUGGGCAAUGCAUUGGGUAGGAGAGCUGAUGCUUCAGGUUCCACCUCUCUGAAUGUGUUGCAGAUGAUGGCCUCAGCAAGUGCCAUCAAUUGGUUAGUAUUAAUGACAUUCCUUAUGUUAACUCUGCGCCUCUCUGUGGUGCUGCCCAGGCUGACCCAGGGGAUCUCAGUUGAGUCAAUGGGUGGCAUCAGUUGGAUCAUCUUGUGCAUUUUCACGUUCCCUGCAUCAAAUUCAAUAUUUUUGGUCACUAAAUCAUAACAUGCAAGGAGUAACAUGACAGUAUGGAAUUUGCUAUGCUCAAGGGGAUUUGAUUCUUACCACUUUCAUCAAUAACACCAUCCUCAAUUAGUUCGGGAAGUUUCAUCCUUAGUGCAAACACAGAUGCUGAAUAAGUUGAGAACAAAGCAACACGUACUCCCACUGUGUUUGUCAGUUUUAGCGCCCAGCUCAUAGACACAUCUGCUAUCAUCCAUUUUAUCUUCUUGAUUUUGAUAAUCUCCUCGAGGGGGCUGAACAUGGCAGCUGGUAAGCCACCGACCAACUUGCCAAUGUCUGUGUGAUCAUCACCUGGGUCCAAACCAUCUGGGAUGGAUAACAUGUGGAUUCCUUCAGGGAUCACUCCAUUUUGCAUGGACUUGAGGAUACAGCCAUGGUUGAACUCGGUAUUUACGAAGUCAAUCUUGAAUCCAUAGUCGAUUAGCCUGUGGGACAACUCCAUUAGUGGAAUGACAUGACCUUGUGAAGGGAAGGGUAGCACCAUGACAUGAGGUUGAGGAGCAGCAGCAGCCAUGAUGGUUGUUUCUGUUAUGGGCAAAUGGCUACAAACAGUUUGUGGAGUCAAUGUUGUGGAUAGAUGUGACCAGAUUGGUCCAUCGGGUGUGCAUAUAAAGGGUGCCAUAUCAUGGCUGUUGCAUCAGACCAUACAUCAUCAAAUUUGUAGCCUGUUGAAUAUAGGACUCACUUUUCCAAAGAGAAGGUUAUCUUCACAAUCAUUAAGUCCAGAGUUGACCACUUUGUCUUCUCUGUCUUGCCCGGCAAGCAAAAUAGCCAUGUAUAGAGGAUGGAGACGUUGCAAAUGGCGUAUGCUUGUAGUCUAGAUGUAUUUGCGAUAUUGGCACUCUAUAAAAGGCAAAUACAGUUUUUAAUUCAUCUGAAAAUGAGAGAAUUUUUUAGAACAUCUAUUUUGUUGGCUCCUGGCCAUUCUUCAAACCAACAUAUGUCUGAAAGAUUGAAAUCCUAUAUGUCCAAAAGAUAAUACUGAUAAUAUAUAUCAAAUCAAUUUCAUAUAUCGUCUUCUUUUUGUAAACUUUAUUGACAUUUUGAUGUGUAGUGUUAAUCUACCUGUGGAGAAAGCUUAUGCUAAUUUGCAUACUCUGCAGAAAAGUCACAGAGCCAGAUUGUCCUGGAAAUAACUAAAAAUCCAAUGGCCUGGUCUCACGGAGCAUCUGCCUUAUUUUCAGUAAGCCUCCAAUCCUUGCAUCUGUUCAGUUGUACGAUUCCUUACCCAAUUAGUUAUUUGAUAUAUGUAGUGACAUGCUGACACUGCAUCAUGAACAUUUCUUAGCUGGGAACAUCCUACUGAGUGCUAUUAUAUUAGACUCUGAUACUCUGGUGAACUCUGUACUUGCUUCUAGUUGUAGGGCUCUGCUAGCUCAGUUUUUUAUGUCUUGGCCGAAACUGCUGGCAUUCAAUAUUUUCUUAAUAUAGCAAUUGCUUCUUCUUUGGAACUUCCCUAGCUACUUCGCAGACCUAGAGAUUGUUAAAAAAUAAUAAUAUUGCAAAAAGCAAUCUCUUAAGAUGCUUCCAGGUAUCACCUUCAGUACAUGGCCCAUAGCAGCGACCCAAACACCACGAGGGCAAAUUGCAUUUGGCAUUUGCCGUGUAGUGACACUGACAUAGAUCCUAAUCUAGUAGUAUAUUUUAUUACACUCUAUGGCUGUCUAUCCAACUUCGAAUGCGACUUGCAAUAAUGUUUAUCCACCCAACUGACCUCUGAACGAGAAAGGAAAGAUCUGACAAGCUAAAGAUUAUUGCUCUCUCAGCAGGUUCACAAACUCGAGCAGAUCCUGAUGUGAGGGCCCUUCAUCGGCGAUGCUCGCGCACGCCCUGCUCUUCAAGGACAACGACCUCGCCUUGAUCCCCUCGUCUCC
rnacentral:lncRNA from 1 species